rnacentral:lncRNA from 1 species
UUUUUUUUUUUUUUUUUUUUUUUUUGUGUUUGCGCGUGACUGCUGUGACAUUUUGCGGCACCGCGUUAGACGAUAGCCCAUACCUAACCAAGAAAAGAUGAGCAUCCGCUCACGAGCUUCAACUUGAAGCAUGGAUGGCAAAAAGCGAAAAUUUUCUCUCUUUUCUUUUGUUUUUUGUUUUUUUUUUCCUUCCCGGGGGUUGAAACGAAGAGGGAAACUGGGAAAGUAAAAGAAAAGAAAAAGUGAAUCAAGGAUUGCUUCAUUUGCUGGGCAGUUGUUUGCUAAAGAAUUAGUAGUACAAUGCAUAUCACCGCACCGGCCGAUCGUUAAUGAAUUUGGUAAAGGUACUAGCAGUCAGUAUCUUACUCCCUCCGUCCCACUUUGUUAGUCUUGUUUUCCUUUUUCGUCCGUCCCAAAUUGUAGUCCACUUUCCCAUUAAGAAAUGUAGUAAUCUUUCAAAUUGUCUAAAAUACCCUUAUUAAAUAUCUUGUUAUUAAUACAUUGUUAUUAAAUACUCACCCACUACAUUGAAUACAUUGAGUUUUUCCAAUACAUUGAAUACAUUGACUACAUUGAUUAGCAUAAGGGUAUUUUAGGAAAUUAUUAAUCUAAAUUUAUGUUUCCAACCAAAUUAAUUACACUUUCUUAAUCUGUGUGAAAAAAAAAUCAAGACUAACAAAAUGGGACGGAGGGAGUAUAUAUUUACAUCGAGAAAUGUGUAUCUAUAAAUCUUGUACAUUGAUGUCAAAAUGUGUAUCCAUAAAUCUUGUGCAUUGAUGUCAAAUUUCCGGUUUUUAGGUGAAGCUCGUUCAAUAAAUUGUACAGUAAGUUACAAGAAAACGCAACAGAAAAAUCACCAAUGUAUGUGUAUAUUCAAGUGGGCCUAUAGCAUCUUCGAGAUCUUUAAUAAAACUACACAGAGUAUUCAGUAGAAAUAUCUUAGGAAAAGUACGAGUAUCUCCUGGGAAAAGAAAAAGAGAAAAAUAUCACGAAAAUUCCAUUGAGAUAUGUAAAAUGAGAAGAAGAAACCACUUCUCAUCUUGAUCACAGGAAUAAACCCAAAUAAAGAUCUAUUAUUUACGGACUUUAUUCUCUUUAACCCUCUGUUUUUUAACUUGGAAUUGACCCAAGAUGUUUACCUUUUAUGGGUUAUUUUGCGAAUCCAACAGAUUUUACUUGAGAGGCUGUGUUGUUUGGAUUGCUAUUUCUAGGAGCUUCUGUAAAAAAAAAAAAAAUGUAUUAUAACAAUUUAAUAUAUGUCAGAUAAAAAAUAAUUUAAAAAUAUAUUCACGAAAAAAAUAUAAAUGAGAAAGUAGCUCCGCAAUUAAUUAGAAUGGGCAAAUUAGGCAGUAAUCACUAAUCGGAUAUGAAUAGAAAAAUAAUAAUGUUGGGGAUUUAUUUCCAAUUUAACAGUAAAAUUCAGACCACAUGUUCCCUAGGUCUGUUACACCUUUUCCUGAAAUAUCACCAUGAAAAUCAAACAACCUCUAAAAUUCGUCUAAAUACCCCAAGCAAAGCAAAUUUGUCUUUUUCUUUCAACCAAUAAAUAUCAAGAAAAGAAAACAAAAUAUAAACAAUCAUCAUCAUAGCCCGUACUCAUGGACUCCCCGCCGCCGCCCAUACGUUUCCUCCUCUCAGUAUCUAAGCUACACCGCACGUGAUCAAAGCCAGCAGUCCCACGCUUUUAUAUUUCAGGUGUCCUCAUAACAUCCGCACACGUGUCCACCCACAUCCUGAUAUUCUAUCUCUUUCCCUAAGGUUUGGUUAUUCUUAAGCUAACCCCCACGAGUAAAUGCCAAUCACACUUGUACAAACACGAGUACAUACAUGGUGAUAUUACUACCAUAUUAAAGUUAAACAAAGAAAAUGGAAGAUAGUAAUAUAGUGGACAAAUUAUACAUAAGCUAAUAACAAAAAAAUAUUUUCUUUAUUGAUUAAUUUAAAAAAUUUGAGUUUACUUUCAAUAUGAUUAUAGAUCUUUACACACUCUAUUAAAUAAGAAAAUUAUCAAGAAAUCGAUAAAUUAUCAAUGUGCACUUUAAGUCUGUGCUUUUUUCCUACUUAUCAAUGUGCACUCAGUCUUCUUCGGUGAAUCGAAUCUUGAACACAAAAAGUUAACAUCAAGUUCUCCUCUUUAAUUUAUACUUUGUAGAUAUUUAAUUCAUGACUAAUUUUUCUAAUUUAAAAGAAUAGCGUAACCUUUAAUAAAAUAUAUAUAAAGUCAAAGUUAUGUGUUAAGCUUUUUAUUAAUGACUAAUUUGAUGGAGAUAUUUGUUUGUUGUUUUUGAAGUACAGCAUGAUUGUAAUACCGAUUUUUUUCCUUCUUGUUCCUUGAAAAAAUGAAUAAAAGGAAAAGAUAUUGUCAAAGGGGCCAAAUUUGAUUAGUGGAUAAAUAUGAUGGAUAACUUGAAAUUAAACGAAACCUCAGGGUGCAAGGUGAAAUUACGGGACAUUAAAAUCUCCCAUCCUUCCCUCUUACGUCGUCUCUGACUCUCUCUGUUUCCGUUUUCCAAUUUCCAAUCUCCGCGAAAAGCUCUCUGGUCAUCAACAGUCCAGUGGUCCACUGUCGCACACAGUACACACACACUCUCCAUUCUUUGUCACCACACCGUCUUCAACCUCGCAUCUGUCCUCCGUCACGUUGCUCAAAUUCAAGGUAAAGCUGCUCAAUUCUCAACAUGUAUUCGUGCUCCUGCCGUCAUUUGACGAAUUGCGGUGGAUUUUAAGCUUGAAUUUUGAUUCCUUUUUUAUAUGCUCAGUGAAGUUAAGGACAUUGGCAAAAUACUUUUGCGUGGAAUCGAGGUUAAAUAUUUGGCAAUUGGAUUAAGUUUGUAGAAAUUCACGCGUUUGCUUCCCAAUUCAGUAAUCUUGUAGGAAUCUUUUCACUUCGUUGCUCAUUUUUAGUGAGUCUGUACCUAAGAUUUGCUUCAUUGAUGAAUCUUUUUCAAUGCUUUUAUGCUUCGAAAUUUGAUAAAGUUGCUUUAAUGCUAUGUAGAUUUCACCUUCAACUUAGGGAAAUUGAGGAUGUUAUAGGACUUGGUAGCUGGGUUUUUUUUUUUUAGAUUAUUUGCGUUGAUUUAGGUGUAGAGAUAUGAGCAAUUCGAUAGGGAAUAAGGUGCUGCGCCAAAGUUUUCUUCCUUGGACUGUUUUAGAGCCUCGGAGCAGAAUCAAUUCGACUUCCACUGGUAAAAAUACUUUAUUUUCACCUCAAGCAACUUCUGCGGCACGAAAAUCGCCUAUAUCAACCGAGUUUCACGGCAGCAAAUUGACUGUAAAGGAAAAGAAAUUAUCAAUGGGAAAAGAACGCGGUCUUUCUAGCUUCCCUCGAGCUGUUUUAGCCACCGAUCCUUCUUCGCAGGUGAUUUUCUAUUUUUCCGUUGAACUCACGUGGUAUUCUUUUCUUAGGACUUUUUUACACUGGACUGUUCGCUUUACCUUUAUGUUUAUGAGAGAAAGGAUUGUAGUCUUCUCGUAAUGUUUAAAACUAGGUAGUUGAGUGUACUUUACUGUCUGGAAGCCAUAGUCUUGAGGGGCUUUGUCAUUUUACAUACAAGGCUAGCUAGCAGAAUAAGAGUACAUUGUCCUUCUCCAUAAGAACACUAAUAUGGAGAUGUGUGCAUAUUGUUUAUAGUUGCAUUUUUUUCCGUUCUUGUCCGGUACAGGGAUCUAAAGGUGUUGGACUAGUGAGGUUCAGAUAAUUCAGUUAAUUAGCCUUUAUGUGAUAAGCUGCACUGAGAAUUUCUUUAAGUUGAGGUGCAUAAAGGAGGUGCACUGAGAAGGUUUUUCAGAUACUUGUUAACUGUUACCUUUUCUUGUUUUCUGACAGAUUGCGGAAAAGUUCAACCUUGAUGGAAAUAUUGAACUGCAGGUGGGAUGGUGUAGUUGGUGGAUAUUAUAUCCGAUCUUAAAUACUUGAUACUGCAGUUCUGUUGAGUCUUCCUAAAGUGAUUUCUUCACCGUUUCUUUUGAAUAUAUUGGAUAAGGAAAACAUCUUGGUUAAGUAUGUUUUCUGUUUCCCAUUGUGCAGGUUGAUGUCACGGCCCCUCAUUCAGGGGCCAGACCUGCGGUUGACAUUAAAGUAACACAUGGUGGUGAUGACCUAAUUCUGCAUUGGGGUGCAGUACAAGAUAGGAAAGGGUAAGUAUGAGAAUUAUUCUACAUAUGUGAGACUUUAGUAACCGUUGCAUAUCCUUUUAAUACUUCUCUGUGUUGGUCUAAAUCACCAGCAAAUGGGUGCUUCCUGAUUGUCGUCCAGAUGGAACUAAAGUAUACAAGAAUAGAGCACUUAGAACUCCUUUUGUUAAAGUAAGUUCCAAGUAGCUGUGCAAUUCAACCAGUGGCAUAAACUAACAGGAACAUUUAUUUAAUUUCUUAUGCCCGGUUGCUCAAAUAACUCAUUUAUGGUUACACUUCUCAGUCUGGUGAUAUUGCUUCUCUUAGAAUUGAGAUUGCUGAUCCCACAAUUCAGGCCAUAGAGUUUCUUAUUUUUGAUGAAGGCCAGAACAAAUGGUAAUGCAACAUUUCAUGCUAAUUUAUAGCGUCCUUGGCUUACAAUGAAAGUUAGUAUCUCUACUACCUUUUCCUAAUUCUCUCCUCUCUCGUUAGGUUUAAGAAUAAUGGUGACAACUUUUCAAUUGGAGUGCCUUCUGGAGGGCCACAGGUUUCAAAUGUAUCAGUGCCUGAAGAUCUUGUGCAGAUUCAGGCAUAUCUGAGGUGGGAAAGAAAAGGGAAACAGAUGUAUACUCCUGAGCAAGAGAAGGUUAGGAGCCCUUUCUAUACAAUAUUUUAGCAUGGAAGUGUCAUGUUCUGUGACAUUGAUGGUGUUGAAUUGUUGUUGGAACUUCUAUUUUUUGUGUUCAUACUAUAGAGCACUGUGGUUUUUUUUUUUUUUUUUGGUUCUGCCAAAUACAAAACGAUACUGUAUUUGUUGAGUCGAUCAAGAUGCACUUUUUACCUCUUCUGGUUCAAUGGUAGUUUUUACUUGCUUGGCUUUAUAAUCUCUUACUUGUUUAAACAUUAAAUAAUUUCUCUGUUCUUAAAUGCUGAGAAAGAGCAGAAAUGUAUGAUGAUGAGAUUUAGUUGUUUUGGGAAAUGUAGUUGUUUUCUUUAGGAAAUUGUUUCUGUAGUGGUAUUAACCAAUAUAAGAAUGAUGUCUUUUAGUUUUGAAACAGGAAGAUAUGCGCUUAUAAGUCACUUGUAGUUGGUUCUAUUUCUCUUUCUCAGGAGGAGUAUGAAGCAGCUCGAACUGAGUUACAGGAGGAAAUAGCAAGGGGUACUUCCAUCCAGGACCUUCGAGUAAGGUUAACUAAAAGAAAUGAUGCAAAUGAAAGCAAGGAUCCACCUGUUCCUGAAAGGAGCAAUAUCCCUGAUGAUCUUGUGCAAAUACAAGCUUAUAUACGAUGGGAAAGAGCUGGGAAGCCAAACUAUUCUCCAGAACAACAGCUUGUAAUUCCUUAACUUUGCUUAUUACACACUCCCAUACACACAGAUGCAUUAUCUGGAUAUUCUCAUCUUGUGCUUAUACAAGCAUAUGAACUAAGAUUGCAUUGCAUUCGUGAAAUAUUCAUUUGGUGUCCUGUGGAACACUGGUGUCAAUAUAACUUAUGAUCUGAGUAUUUGUGGUAAUAGAAAGAAUUCAAAGAAGCAAGAAAAGAGCUUCAACUUGAACUACAGAAGGGUACUUCAGUUAGUGAGAUACGAGAGAAGAUUGUAAAAGGAGAAAUACAAACCAAGGUUGCUAAACAACUGGAGAAAAAGAGUUAUUUUACUGCUGAAAGAAUUCGGAGAAAGAAGAGGGACACCACACAACUUGUAAAUAAGUACCCUUCUCGAUCUAGAGAAGAGAGGACCUAUUCAGAACCACAAGCGCUAUCUGCAAUUGAGCUAUUUGCUAAGGCAAAGGAAGAAGAGGUUGAUGGUUCCAUCAUGGACAAGAAAUUAUACAAUCUGUCUGAUGGGAAACUUCUGGUGAGAAUUUAAUUUUGUGUAUGGUGUUGCCCCAGUGAGUAAACUCUUAUGCUAUAAUGGUAAAAUUUUAUUUCCUUGCUUUAUUUGAAGGUAUUCAGUGCAAGGUCCUCUAGUAAGAUGAAAAUUUAUCUGGCCUCAGAUGUUAAAGAGCCACUUAUUCUUCACUGGGCUUUAUCCCGGAGACCUGGAGAGUGGAUUGUAAGAUAUUCAAAACUAUUUUAUUUAGGAUGUGCUGGAUAUAUUCUGUAGAAAAAAGUAUAAUGGGAAAUAAUGUCUCCCGUUGCACCGUUUAUCUUACCUUCAGUUAACUAUUUACAAAGCUAGGUGGAAAAAUUAUGCAGGCACCCCCUUCAAGUGCAUCGCCCCCUGGUUCAGUUUCUUUGGAUAAAGCCAUUGAAACACAAUUUUCAAAAACUUCUUCUGACAACUUAACUUACAAGGUGCACUGCUGGGAACUUCGUAUGCUUUUUUGUGAUCUUGAAAUUUUAUAUUCUAAAUAAUUCAGGAGAGAACUAGCAUAUGAAAAAUUUGUAGAUAGCAAUCUCAUACUUUAGCUUCAAUUCUCAGGUUCAAUCCCUUGAAAUAGAAUUUGAAGAUGACAAUUAUCUGGGAAUGCCAUUUGUUCUUUUGGCUGAUGGGAAAUGGAUAAAAAACAAAGGAUUCGACUUUUAUGUUGAAUUUGGUGCUAAAACUAAGCAGAUCGAGCAGGUCUCUCUUUCUCUCUCUCUCACACACACACACAGAGACGAAGCAACCAAAGAUCCCAAUCGUAUUUUAUGUACCUCUUCUUACAGUUGUUGCUUUCAAAAUUCUAUGACUUUCUAGAUGUGGUGACAACUGAUUAGACUUAUUUUCCAAACUAGGCUGCUGGAGAUGGCAGGGGCACAGCAAAGGCUUUGCUGGACAAGAUAGCAGAGAUGGAAAGUGAGGCUCAGAAAUCUUUUAUGCACCGGUAAGGACUUUAAUUUGACAAAUUAUGUGUGCCUCUGCUAUAGCAUAACAUCUGUUGAGGUUUCCUAGAUUGUCAGGACGAAGUUCUUAAAGCAAUAUCCUAAAUACAGUAGAUUUUUAGCCUCCACCUACUUUCCUUUUUUUUCCUGAAGGUUUUGUAUGCAAUUCUAUAAUUCUGUGGGAACAUGAACAUCAAGUUUUUUCGUGGGUUUUACUGAGCAAAUGACAUCCAAGGAGCUUAGUAAAGAUCCAUCAUCUGCCUUCAAUUGGAUGAGGAGUAGUUGACCUGAAACUGCUGGUUCCAAUUUUGGUAUUGUUGUUGGAUAGAACCUUCGCCGAUAACUGUUAACCUUCGCCGAUAACUGUUUUCUAAAAUCUCUCCUUUUUUUUGCUCAUUUUUUGUUGUUGAUGCAGGAAGAGUUUUUCUAAGUUAUUAUACUAGUAGCUUUUCUUAUAUUCUAGAUUACGUUGGACUGAAAUUAUGAGUUCUUGCUCUAUGAAUGGAUCUUGAUGUGUCUUAGAAAAACCAGACAGUAUGAUGAAAAUUUGCUCGGUCUGCAUGUGCUCUCUGCCUUUUAAUUUAGAUGGAUGUUUCAUUGUGUCAUAAGAAACCCAUUUUAAUCUAUUUUCUGGUUCUAUUAUUCAUUUAUUUUGAAUCGCAGUUUAUGAGUGUACUUUCCUCUCUUUCAGAUUCAAUAUUGCAGCAGACUUGACAGAAGAAGCUAGGAGUGCUGGUGAAUUGGGCUUUGCUGGGAUUCUUGUGUGGAUGAGAUUUAUGGCCACUAGACAGUUGAUUUGGAAUAAGAACUACAACGUAAAGCCCCGGUAAUGCAAUAAGCUCUUGGGAAAGUUUGAGUUUUUUGAUAAUUUAUUCAUGAAAACUGACUGAUAAGUUUGGACUUUUACAAGUUCUGCUGUUGCUUUUACUAAAAGUCUCUGUAAAGCAUAAUUUCCUCUUUUCUCAAACUAAAUUCAGCUUCGUUGUGCUCUGAUAUUGCUGUAUGUGAAGUCCUUAUCUCUUUAUGUUGACUAUCUUAAUCUCCAUUCUAUAUAGUGAGAUAAGCAAGGCUCAGGACAGGCUCACAGAACUACUCCAGAAUGUUUAUAUAGAUCAACCACAAUAUCGUGAAAUUUUGCGAAUGAUUAUGUCAACUGUUGGUCGUGGAGGUGAAGGAGAUGUGGGCCAGCGCAUAAGGGAUGAGAUCCUUGUUAUUCAGGUGGACAUUGGAAGCCUUGCUUUAUUCUCUCUUUCUGCACAUUCUUGCCUCUCUUUCGUGUGACUCACUUGGGCAAGCAUUCUUUAAAAUUUCAGAGGAAAAAUGAUUGUAAGGGUGGAAUGAUGGAGGAGUGGCAUCAGAAACUGCAUAAUAAUACAAGCCCAGAUGAUGUUGUGAUCUGUCAGGUAUUUUCCGUGGUUGGAUUCUACCUUUACGCACUUUAUUUCACUAACGAUGUGAUAUAUCAUUUGUUUACUUACCCUCUUGUAGGCAUUGAUUGACUAUAUCAAAAAUGACAUGGACAUCAGUGUUUACUGGAAAACCCUCAAGGAAAAUGGUAUAACAAAAGAACGCCUCUUGAGUUAUGAUCGUGCAAUCCAUUCUGAACCAAAUUUUAGGAGAGAUCAGAAGGAUGGCCUUCUACGUGAUCUUGGGAAAUACAUGAGAACACUGAAGGUUGGUACUUCAAACACAUGAUAAUGUUAUAACUCUUUCCGUCUUGUAUGUGUAAGGUUUCUCUGAAGUUUGUUUCAGUGUUCUGCUAAGAGUAAUGAUAAGCAAUUAAAAUUUUGGACUACCACUAAUUGAAAAGUUUGAGAUGUUUCCACAGCUCUCCUAAUAGUUGAGACUGAAAUAAAUUCCUUAUGUUUGUGGUUUCAUUCGCUGAAGCCCAACCACCUUUAGAACAACUGUAAUGCUGAGUAUGGAAUUCCUGUAUUGACUUGUGAAAUGGAAUCUGAAGUAAUGAUGUAGUCAGAAACUCUGUUACCUUUCCUUUCUGGCAGUGUUGUGGGAAAUUGAUCUUUUAUUCCUGUCGUCUCCUUAAUGCGUUUGAGGUUGCAUAACUGCAUAUGGAAAGAUGAUGUGACAGUCACCUAAUUUACUUCCCUAUAGUAGUAGUAUCAUAUUUGAUAACAACUGCUAUUCACUUUUACUUUGCGCAGGCAGUGCAUUCUGGUGCUGAUGUUGAGUCUGCAAUUGCAAAUUGCAUGGGUUAUAGAGCGGAGGUAAUCAGAUUAAUAUGUUGUGUUACUUGAAUAUGGCGUUUCUUGCCAUUCUUCCUAAAAGAGCCACUGAUUGUCAUCAGGGAGAAGGCUUCAUGGUUGGAGUGCAGAUAAACCCUGUUUCAGGGUUGCCAUCAGGAUUUCAGGUAGUGUCAAAGAUAUAUUUUAUUUGAGUGGCCUUGAUUUUUCCUUUUCAGAUUAAUGUUUUACAUAGAUUUCUAUUAUCCAAUGGUGAAUCCUUUUUGCAGGAACUGCUACAAUUUGUUUUAGAGCAUAUUGAAGAUAAAAAUGUGGAAGCUCUACUUGAGGUAGGUAAAUUCUUCUUGAGAAAUUCUAUAUUUUAUGAUUGAUAAUGUUUUUUAUGCCCUUUAAGACACUUUUUAAAAAAAUAUGGUCUUCAGGGUUUGCUUGAGGCUCGUCAGGAGCUUAAGCCAUUACUUUUCAAGCCAAAUAACCGCCUUAAGGACCUCAUAUUUCUGGAUCUUGCUCUUGAUUCUUCUGUUAGAACAGCUGUAGAAAGGGGCUAUGAGGAAUUGAAUAAUGCCAGUCCAGAGGUACUAUUUUCCCUUGAAUUCCUUUUACCUUCUUUUGGGUGUCUUAGAUUCAUCAGUGUUCUAUUUUGGGCCUAGAAUUGUAUCUGGAUUCUCUGUUCUUCCACUUUGUUACUAGAGCUUUAUACAGCUUAAUUCUUUAUUUAUCACCCUGUUGUCUUGUUUUGCAGAAAGUUAUGCAUUUCAUCUCUCUUGUCCUUGAAAACCUCGUGCUUUCAAUUGAUGCUAAUGAAGAUCUUGUUUAUUGCUUAAAGGUAACAUUGCAUCAAUGUCUGUAAUUCUUGUUUCCAUUCUUUUAAUGUGUAUUAUAUAUAGAACCUUGAUUUUCCUGAAUCUUAAGUUCAUGAGAUCCAGAACACUUGACAAGUCUGGUAGUAUUUUAGGUUUCAUGUCUGAGUGAAUUCCUAUAAAAUUCAAGAGAAUGUAAAACUUGUUAUUUUUCUGGUUGAUUAAUUGAAAAUUUCAGGCUUUAUCUCUAAUGAUGUUCAAUGGCAGAACUUUUAGGCUUAUCAGAACUCAUAAGGAAAUUUUUGUACAACCUCUGGUUAUUAAGUUAUAAAAAAUUCUUUUUUCAUCUCUGAAAAUUAGACAAGCAUGUUUUGGAAGCACUAAGGAAACUUGACAAAGGGGUCUGGUUGUGCACCUUCAUUAUCAUGACAUAGUUAAGGUGAGUUGUUUGCUUCCUCACGUGUGGUGCAUUAUCUGCUUCUUUCCAUGGCAUGUGAGGUGACAAGCAUUCUCGAUCGUGGCCUAGUGUUCUUUGUUGUUAAGAUGGAUCCAACAAUCACAUUUCAGCUGUUUGCUUGAACUUUUAAUGAUCAGUAGUUAGUCACAAGUCGCUCAAGUUCAAGGAUAACAGGAAAUAGCAACACGGGCAUACAUAAGCUCUUGCAUGAGUGUGCUUUGAAUUUUUUAUUUUUUACUAUUUAUAUACUAAUUAAUACUUCUUGAAUGUGCUUAACAUUUGUCAAGGGAUGGGAUAAAGCACUAGACAUGUCAAAAGGUGGAGAUCAAAGCUGCGCCUUAUUUGCAAAGUCAGUUCUUGACAGGACGCGACUUGCACUUGCAAGCAAGGCAGAGUGGUACCAUCAGUUAUUGCAGCCAACUGCAGAGUACCUUGGGUCACAGCUUGGAGUGGACCAAUGGGCUGUAUGUUAACUGAAUUGAACCUGGAGAUAUGAUUAUUGCUAUACACUUUAAAGAACCUAGCACCUGGUGUCUUAUUCUUCUUUUAUCAUUACUUUAUGCAGGUAAAUAUAUUCACUGAAGAAAUGAUCCGUGCAGGAUCUGCUGCUUCAUUAUCUGCACUCCUUAAUCGGCUUGAUCCUAUUCUUCGAAAAACUGCUCAUUUGGGAAGGUUGAUUGGAUAUGCAUCACCCUUAUAGAGUUCAAUGUGCAAUUAUGUUAAUGCAUCAAAUAUUAUUAGUGUAUUCUUCAAUUUCAGUGCAUAAAGGUUUACCAUGAAUUUGUUUCAUCUCUCAUGAGCUUGAGCCUGAUUUUGGAACUCAAAUCAAAACUUGAGAGCUUCUUUGAAAGGACUUACGCAUAUUACCUUAUUGUUGCAAUCUCUCAAUGAGUAUGUUAAGUAAUACGACUUUCAUGGCUUGACACAGUUGGCAGGUUAUAAGUCCAGUUGAAGCUGUUGGAAAUGUUGUUGUUGUGGAUAAAUUACUCUCUGUCCAGAAUAAAUCAUAUGAAAGAAAAACAAUUUUGGUGGCAAAAUCUGUAAAAGGAGAGGAAGAAAUUCCUGAUGGUACUGUUGCUGUGUUGACACCAGACAUGCCAGAUGUUCUCUCUCAUGUUUCUGUUCGAGCAAGAAACAGCAAGGUAGUGCCCUCGAUCAGCCUGAGUUUAAUUGUUUUUGGAGAACAGUUGAACGCUAAUAUGCCCUUGGAAAUGUGUCUUCGUGUUGAUAGGUAUGCUUUGCUACAUGCUUUGAUUCCAGUAUAUUGGCUGAUCUCCAGGCCAAGGAGGGGAAGUUCUUGCGCUUGAAACCUACUUCCGCUGAUAUAAUUUAUAGGUGUGCUCACCAAUCACAUACUUCUCUGGGUACAUUUGUUGUAGGACACAUGAUUAAAUGUCAUUUGGUGGUUGUCAAUGCAGAGCUCCUCUCUUAUGGAGUUCACUGGAAAUGCAUACUGUGGAAAUGAAACUAACUUUUGUUUAUGACAUAAAUUUUCAGUGAGGUAACAGAAAGUGAGCUGAAAAGUUCAAGUAACUUCAAUGAUGCUGGCCCGUUACCAUCUAUUACUUUAGUUAGAAAGCAGUUUGGCGGUAAAUAUGCAAUAUCAUCCAAGGAAUUCACUAGUGAAAUGGUGAGGCUUCAUACAUCAGAUUUUCUUUUAUUUUCCUUUCACAUGAUACUCUCAAGAUUCCAACAUGUACUUCUUAAGUGUAUAACUUAUACUCUUUCCUCUUUGUCAGGUUGGAGCUAAGUCACGGAAUAUUGCAUACCUCGAAGGAAAAGUACCAUCUUGGAUUGGGAUCCCUACCUCAGUUGCCCUUCCAUUUGGAGUUUUUGAGAAAGUUCUUUCAGAUUAUUUGAACAAGGUAUAUUCAUAUUCAGAGUCUCAUGCAUUUGUAUUGUUAUCCAAUGAAAGUCGUGUGCCCUCUCUUAAUAAUAGGGUAUGGCUGGCCUGGUGCAGUUUUUUUUUUUAAAACUGACUCUAUAUUGCUUGACACUUGUAGCUAGUUAGACAAUGAAUUUCUUUCUUAAAAUGUGAACGAUAAUGAAUCGAUAGAAGAGGCAAACCUACUUGCUUCUUUGUUAGUAAAUUAGCUGCUUAUUCUUGAGUUUGGUGUAAGGUUGACAUGGAUAAUCUAGAAACCAGGCGCUUAUUAAAUAAUCUAUUAAAUUGUUCACAUGCAGCCGAUGAAUAAUAAAGUUGUAGGGUAAUUUUAGCUUAUUAUAAUACUUACACAGAAAAGAAACUACAUAAAUAACCUUUCAAGUAAUGUUGCAAUGUUGUAAAGUUGUAGAGUAAUUUUAGCUGUAAUGUUGACAUCGAUGAUCUGUAAUGUUGUAAAGUUGUAGGGUAAUUUUAGCUUAUUAUAAUACUUACACUGAAAUAAAACUAAAUAAAUAACCCUUCAAGUAACUUUUGACACUUAAAUAUUCAUUUUCAUUUUCUUGUUACUUUAUAAGCUUAGAUUGGAUCUUUGUUAUUUGGAGGAGAUCAAGGCACCUCUCUUGCUCUUAUUACUAUUUGUAGUUUUUAUUAUUUUUGUGGCAUUUAAUUUUCAUUCUAAUUGUGAAUGGUACUUGACAGGAAGUGGCAGCAAAAGUCAAGGAUCUGAAGAGGAAAUUACACAGAGGAGACUUCCAUGUCCUUGGUGACAUUCGCAGGACAGUUUUGGACCUUGCGGCACCAUCGCAGCUGGUAUGCUAUGUUAUUUUCUUGUCUUUAUUGUCCAAUUAUUUGACCUUCUGAAAAUUGAGAUUGAGAUGCAUAUGCUUCUUGAUCUUUCCCUUGAAAUUUUCUUCAAGAAAGAAAUAUCCUCGAUGACACACGCCUUCUAAGUUUAUAUGGUUGGUUUCAGCUCUUCCACCUUUCAUACUGGAUCCUCAAGGAUGUUUGCUCUCUCAAUUCAUUAUAUAUAGGUGCUCUAGAGUUGAUAAUCCUUGAAUCUUGUUUGGGCCUUGAUUUUGGGAGUUGUCAUGGUUUUGUCUUCUCUAUAAACCUGACCUGAGGAACACAUCGUUUACCUUUCAGCACAUCACGAGUCUUAAGUAUAGUAUCACUAUUGGAUUUCAACCUCAGCUAACACCUUUCGUGAGAUUUACAUAGGUAAAGGAACUUAAAGACAAGAUGCAGAGUUCUGGCCUUCCUUGGCCUGGCGAUGAAGGCCAGCAACGAUGGGAACAAGCUUGGAUGGCUAUAAAAAAGGUGGAGCUAUAUGUCUUUCGCUGCAAGCUUAUCUUCAUUACUUUGUUUUUGUCUCUUUGAGGUGAAGAAUUCUUUGAGUUCCAUAUAGGAAUAGAAGAUUCAAAACUAGAAUUAGCUUCAUGUUGUCUUGUGUAGAUAGUGGAAAAGAGUAAUUCUUCUUUCUAGAUUUAUAGCUUGGAUUCUUUUGGUAAUAUCAAGGUGAUCUGUGAAUAUUUGUUACUGGUUUAAGUGUUUCUAGUGUAUUAAGAGCAUUUGGGGCUUGAACAUUGUGGUUUCUCAUUUGCCAGGUCUGGGCUUCAAAGUGGAAUGAGAGAGCAUACUUCAGCACAAGAAAGGUCAGACUUGACCAUGAUUAUCUCAGCAUGGCAGUCCUUGUUCAAGAGAUAAUAAAUGCAGAUUAUGCAUUUGUUAUCCAUACUACUAAUCCAUCUUCAGGAGACUCGUCAGAAAUAUAUGCUGAGGUAAACCUAACUUGUAGUCAAUAGUGUUGUUGUAUGUCAAAACCAAGGGAAUUUUAUGUCCCAUUACCUUCUGGGCUUCAGUUAGAAGGAAAAAAUUCUCCUAUUUAUGGAGUCGCAGACAAUGUUUUAGUACAUUACCAGUUAGAACAAAGUUUUUAGUGACGACACCCUUAAGAUAUUCUACUGUAGUGGAUGUGAAGCUAGUUUAUUCAGCAGACUGUUAAUCAGCAUGCCUUUUCAGAAGUACUGUUAAAUAAGUAAUGAAUGUUUUAACAUUUUUGGAACAGGUGGUCAAGGGUCUCGGAGAGACGCUUGUAGGAGCUUAUCCAGGCCGCGCGCUGAGUUUUAUCUGCAAGAAGAAUAGUCUCAAUUCUCCUGAGGUGGGUGGCAGAAUACUUCAAUCUUGAUAUCUAAAAUUUUUGCACAUCUUAUGCCUGUGUUUUAGUUCAAAUUUUAUCCAUGUUUAUACUGGCAGCGAACAAAAUUUAGCCUGAACAUAUACACACAAAACUCAAAGUAAUACAAAAUGUGAUUUCUAGAAUAUGCAGCUUAGACAAAUUGAUCUGUCAUUUUGUGUAUCAGUGUCUUCUGCAAUCAUCUGAUUAUACGUUACUCAUUCUUGUUGCAAGUUUCUUACCUGUCACAGCUGUGGAUUUUACUUACCUUUUGAACUGUCAUUGUUGAUUAGCCACCUGACACGAAAGGAACCAGUUAGGAGCAAGUAAUUUAUCUGUUGAAUUUAUUUAGAGGUGUCAACCUCAACCCAAUUAUAUUGACCCACCCAAACCUGCCCACUAAUAAGUGGACUUGGGUAUGUAAUGAUCUUUGAAUGAGUAUAAAUGGGUACCCAAUGAAAUCCAUUUAAUUGGUAGGUAGUGGAUCGACUUGGCUUACCCAUUUAAAAAUAGAAUUUCAAGUGAGUUGUAAAUGGGUAUCAUACCCAUUUCUUAAAUGGGUAUAAAUGAGUUGAUUUAUUUUGACCCAUUUAUUAAAUGGGUAUAAAUGAGUUAACCUAAUUAUAUCCAUUAUCCAACAUGACCUGCUCAAAUUUGCCCGAGUCACCUAUUUUGACACUUCUAAAUUUAUUUCAUCAUAGAUUCCUUGGUUUUCAUCUUUUGUUUUGUAAAAGGUGGUUGCUACAAUCGACUGUCAUGUCUAUCGACAUCAUUCAUGGAUUGAGCAUUUUCAGGUAUUGGGUUACCCCAGCAAACCCAUAGGACUUUUCAUAAGGCGAUCUAUAAUCUUCCGAUCAGAUUCCAAUGGUGAAGAUCUUGAAGGAUAUGCUGGUGCUGGUCUCUAUGACAGGUAAAGUGAUUUCCUAACCAAAUGAGCUUCUCCAGUUGCACUGUUAUUCAAAAAUGUUUUCUUUCACUUCCAAGCCCUCUAACUACUAGCAUCAUCUGAGAUUCUGAAUUAUAGACGUUGCAGAAAGGAACUAGUUCCUCACACUGAUCAACACGAAUUUUUGUUCUGCUUGCUGCAGUGUUCCAAUGGAUGAAGAGGAGAAAAUUGUGCUUGAUUACUCCUCAGACCCAUUAAUCACUGAUAGCAACUUCCGCCAAUCAAUCCUCUCUAACAUAGCACGUGCAGGAAAUGCGAUUGAAGAGUUGUAUGGAUCUUCUCAAGACAUUGAAGGUGUGGUAAAGGAUGGAAAAAUAUAUGUUGUCCAGACCAGGCCCCAGAUGUGAGCUAAUGUCCUGGUUUGUUCGUCUUAUGCAUCAAUAUACAGAAGAAUAUUUACUUGUUUGCACUAGAUAUGGCCGUAUAAAACAAUUCAACAACCACAACCCUCAAUACUCAUCCAGAAGGGGUGGUGGUCUUAGGGGUCUUGUGGGCAAAGCGAACAAGAAGGUGGAGCAGUAACUAAUGGGACUUGAGGGUGAAGUUGGUACGGAAGCUGAACGUUGCCAUGCAAAUUUAUAACACGAAACCCAUUUUUCUGGGACAUUUGAUUGAUAUCCAAUUCUAUUGUUGUUGUAAUAAUAACAAGUCCCAUCAAGAGCUGUAAUGGAUAUUACAAUGUAAAAGUUCAAUAUGAUUAAUAUAUAACAGAAAUUUAUUUCCCAUACAAGAGGAAUAGCAAAUAGAGUACUUCAGAAAGAAGGGCAUCCUUCAACAGCAAAAGCUGAUGCAUUCAGCCACACUUCAUUUAAACGUCCAGAAAGAUGAGAGGGGGCAUUAUAUUGGGCAAUCGAGAAGAUAGCUGUAUCUUCCAAGAUUUUCGUCUUUCCAUUGAAGAUUUUGUUUAACGUGACCACGAAAGCCUGAGUUUCGUUUCUGAUGCUUUCAUCUUGAGCGAACCCAGAAAAGCUUUUUACUGCUAAGCAUUGGCUAUUCCAUCUUUCAAACUGCAAAUUAAGUUCAGUUUUGGGCAGUGGCGGUGCAGCCGCAUAUUUUGCUGGCAGGUAAAACUUGACAUAACAGUCAGAGCCAUGUGUUCCGGGCACGAUAGUGGUUAGGAUAGGAGCAGUAAUCACCAUUUGAGAAGAGUUGAGGUUGGCACCGCGAAUAUAUUGAUACACCCUGAGAUCAAGGUUGCAACCGUAAAAGUUAACGAGCUAUAUCGACAAACAGGGGUCAAAGCUGUAAUUGGAUUGUCUGAGAUGGUCCGCAUGAGUAUUUUUCGUCAUGGGGAUCAUUCUGCUUUAGACCAUGGUCAUGGGUUCUCACGGUUUUAUUUCUUCAAGAGAACCAAGAUCGUCAUGGAUUUUGUCUUAAAUCUGGGUAGAUAACUAACCAAUUUUUGUCGGAAAAAAGGAUGGACUCAACCUACUACUAAGAGGGUCACAUGACCGAAUUACAUGCCCCGUUAUCGUUUUGUAAGUGCAAGGAACAUACAUAGACUCAAGAAAUAUUCAAAUGGCAGUCUAUAGAUGCACUAUGCUGGUGACUACGAUGAAUAUAUAUAUAGUACAUUGUGUCUUAUGAUCUCAUGCAACCGUCGUGAAGCGGAUGGAGAUACUUGGCAUAGAAAGAAACGAAAGAAAAAAGCCUUCGUGGCCAGUGGCUGCUAUACUUAAAUUCAAGAUGUGAAGACUGGAGAGAGGAUAGUGACCUGUGAAAACCAUCUUUUGUGGAUUUUUCGAAUGAAGUAGCAUUUCUAACAGCAGCCGACACCCAGAAGGAUUCUUCGUAUAACCUGAUCUCAACAUCAGAUUCCAAGUACCGCAGAAUCACACGGUAUUCUGGAGACUCAAUGCUGCUGACGUAGUUGAUCAUUGUGAGUAAGAUGAUGAGGAAUUUUAAAAUCAUCAGCAUCCAUGUUUUCUCCUCCAACUCCUCCAUUUUAUUGUUAAAAUCUGUUUCCUACUUUGUAAAACUGAUUUGCAUGUCGCGUUUGAGCUUUGGCCGCUUUAAAUAGAUUCAAUAAUAUUCCUUUGCCUCGACAAAACUAAGGUUUUGAUAGUGUAUUUCUUUAAUUUACAAAUCAGCUUGUUCAUUUCUUUUGCCCCUCUUACGUGCUAUUGGCCUUCAUUCCCUCCUUCGCAUUAAAGAAUAAGUUAACAACUAGCACGACCAUGGCCUCAGUGCAUUACGGUCACAAUCUCGUCCACAGAAUCCACAACAAACAUAAAAUUCUUAUGCAGCACUAUGGAGGUUCGUGGCAGGAAAGUCCAAAGCAAUUUAAUUAUACCAAAGCAACUUUUAAUUAUACUUUGCACCCCACCUGCAAUUUUCUCUCCACUUCUACAUAUAAAGAUAUAUUUUGAUAUAGCAAGUUGGCCUGGACUCAUUCAGCAUAGCCGAUUUAAUUUUUGCAACAGAUAACGUAAAAAUUCUCGUAUCUAAACCACUACAAUAUUUAUUCAAAAAAAACCCAAAAGAAAAGGGAAUAUAGUAGAACUAUUCUCUUCCACGAAAAGGAAAUAGUAGAACAAUGAAAAAAAUCCCAAAAAAAAAAAAGGAAUUCCACGAGACAGUUAACCUUUGUCAAAGAUACAACCAGGAUUCUAAACCAUUUUUUCAUAGUUUUGCUAAUUAAAUAUAAUAAGUCGUACGUAAUGGGCUUUGCAUGACAAGAUUAUUCAUGAUGAUUUUUGUUCUUUGUUAAAAGAAGAUUUUAACCAGAGAAUUCAGAGCAAGUUAAUACCCCCUUUUUUUUUUUUUUUGGUCGAUACGAUAGCUACCUAUACUAUGGGGAGGGGGAGGGUCUGAAGAGAUCCUGGAGUAAUCCGGAGGGGACUGAACCACCACCGGACCAGACGAAUGCACUACGCACCCGUAUGGAUUUUUCAAGCAAGGUCACAUUUAAUUGUGACAAAUUGAUGGGAGGUAAGGUUUGAACCCUUGCCUCCUACCCUACCAAGCCUUAAUGCAUCGGUGGUGGCCACCAGCUCAAAGGCUGGUGGUUUAAGAUAAUACCCUUGUCAUUUGAGUUGGGUUUUAGGGACAAUAAUUAAUGAGUAAAAACUAGUAGUUCAUAAAAUGUAGCCCAAUCCUUUGGACCGAGAAUACAUGGGUUAAACCCUAGUUAAUGGGCCUCUAAUUCGAUGAGACAUCCCUCUAUUUCAAUGUCCACGCCCAAAUCCAAGAUCAGCACCUUACCAAAACUUUGCCCCUCGUAAAUUUUUCGCUGAGGAUCCGUUUGUUUUAGGUGAAAGAAAAUAUUUUCCUAACUUACUGUGUUUGGUUGUACAAAAGUUACUGAAAAUAUUUUAUUGUGUAAAAGAUUUUCACUCAUCCUAUGUAAAAGUUAUUUUCCGAAACAAACGCGUCUCGCUUGAUAGAGGUAUUUGUCAAAUUUUUAAAACUUAUAGCGUGUUCAAAAUAAAAAAAAAAGGCCUUACCCCUGCUGACCCUAUUCUAGUAAUUAAUUAUGUAUAAUAGGGACAUUUUUUUCUAGAAAAGCUUUCAACAAUGAGAGUGCAAGAUAUAUGUCACAAUAAGCAUUGCGUGUGAUUGAUAUUUGACAAUGAAUGGCCAGCAAUUUGUUUAUUGCUCAAGGAGAAAUUUUUUAUUCGUAUAUACAUUUCUCUAAGAUUUUUUUAAAGUUAAACGACGAGAUAAAUUUUUUUUAUUUUGCAUGAAAAGAAGUAUGUGGUUAUAAUGCGUAGAAAGUAAAGAUAGAGGUAAAAGUGAAAAUAUUUCAAAAGUUAAACAAACACCAGAAGAUGAAAGUAAGAAAAUAUUUUCAAUAGGCCAACCCAACGGACCCUAAAAUUUUGUCAAAAUUUCCGACUUUACACGUUACUGAGAAUGAGAAUUUGCGGAACUUGCCGACCAAAUCUAUGGAAGUCUCGAUCCUUUAACCUUUUUUAUCUUUGAUUCUUUGUCAUAGUCAGUAAAUAUGUAUUGUCAAUGACUCUUAUCCUAAUGCCUUAUAAGAAGGACCUUUCGGUGGCUGAAUAUGUUUCGCUUUAGUCCUAAGCUGAUUCAUUUCAAUAAACCCUUUCCAUACUAUUCACCGCCCUUAAUAAGAAGCUGGUAACAAUCACUCUCAAAAUUUUUCAAAUAUAUCUUCGAGAAAGUAAACCUUUAAUAUAUUAAACUCCGGUUUUGGCGAGAACGAGGAGGUGCCUAAUUAGAUGCUUAUAUGCCUUAAUAGUUCAUAUCAUGAACAAAAAAACAACAGGCCGGUCCUGCCACCCCUGAUGCAUACUGUACUUUGGGAUGCAGACCUCACGAUAUUGCGGAAAAGUAAAAAUUACCAAACCUCUUUUAUUUUCGGGUGAAAAGAUUAGUGUCAUUCGUUAGCCCUACCCGUAUACAAGACGGUCGAAUUGUGUUAAUUAAUGUAGACAGCGAUGAUGAAUUUAAAAUAGAGUCUUAGAGGAGGUGCAUGCAAUCAAUCAAGAACAGUUGGAUCGUAAUAAUGGGAUGUUACAAUAUGAAGCAAUAAGAAAAGAAUUUGUUCAGGAAUAUGUAGUUGGCACGAGGAACAUCAUCAAGUGCAUCAUGAUGAUGCAAUGGGGAGUUGGCCCAUGAGAAGGGAUGAUUCAUGAUGCUGCGAGCAUGCUACACACAGUCACACACCUAAAAUAAAAAGGAAGUGGAAGGAUGGAUGGAUAGAUUAGAGAAAGGUUAGCAGCAUUUCAUUUCUUUCCGAGGGUUCCCACCAGCCCACCCUUCCUUCUCAAAUCAUGGUUGGUUUAGGGAAAUCUCCACUUUGGACUGGACUGCUCUGAUGGAUGUGGUCAGCGACAUCUCUCAAUGCCCCUGUCCCUCUCUUUGCGAAAUUGCGAAUUGCCAACCCUUUUUUUUUUUUUGCUAUUUGUUUCAACUUCCAUUGAAUUGGUUAAGAAAGCUGACCUUGCUGCUUCGACACAAUCAUUGCAUAACAUUACCUUUUCCUUAGCCAAAACCUUUAAUCGUCUCUCGUCUUGACCUUUUUAAUUGUCCCUUUAAAAGUUGUAAUAUAUAUGAUGCACACAUGCAGGGUAAUGUGCCGAUUAACCAAUAGCUAGCUCGAAAGCUACAAAAUGCGUUAGUAAUAGAAGAAAAACAUUCUCUAAGUUGUGUCCCGCUCGAUGCAUGUAUAUAUGAUAAUUUGAAUUGUGUACAAGAUUCUUAAUGAUUUUUUUAACGAUAGGAAUGUGUGGUUUUAAUCAUUUCCAAUUAGUUCAGUUCUCCAACAAGCUGUUAAUUGCUCUAGAGUAAGUAACUAAUACGGAGCCAAAAUGUGUGUAAGAAAAUGGAAGCAGUGAAAAAGUAAAGAGCUAGAAUAUUGACUUAACCAUCUUUGAUUUGUGGAUAACUUGGAAAGAUGCUUCCGAAAGUUCCUGUCCCUACGUUCCAAAUAAACCAUCUUCCAAAUUGUACCACUCUCUAUCUAUCAUGAUUCCAUUUUACCGCUUUUCGUGGCAUGUGUGCCAUGACGGAUAUAUACUAUACUAAGAUAAGAUGCCAUCCAUCCCUUUAAUGUCUGAUAGAUGUUUUCCCAAAGUCAAGAAAGGUGAUUUGAUGUUAUCCUUACUGGAAAUCAAUUCGAUAGGAAAUAUCUUUUCACGAAGCUUCUUUCAUUGGCCAAACACAAAAACUGCAAGAAUUUCCGCACUUUUAACAUCAAACACUAAAAUUCCAAGACUUCGAUCGUCAUCAGCAUACCACACACCCUAAGCUGCUGGGUAAGAGACGAUAACAACUGGUUUUAACAAGAACCUGCUGAAACGCUCCAACAAUAUGUACUCGGGAGCAAAAACUAGUGUUACGUGCUGGUUAGCCCAUAUUCCUUCCUUAGCGCUAAUUAAAUUCAUCUACUGGAGAAGUUGCUUACGUACAAUUAUACAAAUUAAUUCAGAAUACGUGCUUUCUUGAAGCGUGCGUUUUUGCGCCUCUUCUAGGUUUCAGAAUACUUUGCGUGGGAUGGAAUAGAAUAAUGACGGCAAAGGUUUCUUUGCUUUUGAAGUCGGACCAAAUUUGCGGCAUAGCGAACUUAAGAUUUUUAAGUCAAGGAAAUACAUCUGUGUAAUCAUGAUAACAGGCCGGCCCUUUGAAUUCAAACCAGUUAUUAAAUAUAUUAUUAUUAUUGUCUUUCCACUUCAAAUAAUAAUAAUAUAUUAUUCUCUUUUGUCACCAUUUUCAUUAUUGUUACAGACGGGGAAAGAAAGAAAAUACCAGGUAGAGAAUUUCAGGCCUCGUAGAUAAAGCUCUCUUUUGUUCACUUGUGGGCUCCUAUUAGCUAGGAAUUUCAGGUCCUGGUCUGUUUUCUUGGCUAUGACUUGUAACUAGAGAUUUGGUCAAACAACCAUCCAGGAAAACUGAAGAAAUUAUAUAUAGGUCCCAGCCAAUUUCUGCUCAAGCCUAUGCUGCAAAGCUUUGAAGGUGGGGCAAGAGCCUAAUGGGCUGGCUUUGCUUGUUGGCCCUCAAGAACUGGACCUUUGUUAUUAGAGGUUUAAACUUGGAAUGCCUAUCAUUCAUACUUCGAGUGGCUGCUUUUCGGUCAAUAAUAAUACUGCCAGGCAGCAACCGACUGGGCUCCAAUUCUUGUUUGUUUAAUUAAACAAGUUUAGAUUUUAUGGGUACAGUACGUAAUGGAACAAGUUGUGUGAUCUUAGUCCUCUUACUCUCAACACGUGUGAUUAUGUAAACAACUUGAUCAUGAGUUACCACCCCUUUUUUUUUUUUUUUUUUUAAUAAAAGUUUUAUGCAUUUUAAUGCUCUCAUUUUGAAUAUCUUGUACUCAAAAUUUUGCCCAAAGUACCACAAGAAAAGGUGUAGAAAAGAAAAACUGAAAGUUAGGUCCAUCGCCAACUAAAGAUUGCUUGCCCAAAGUAAACUAUUUGGUCACAAACAGAGCAUUGCACAAAAUGCACAUCCAUCCAUGAUCCAACCCCCCACGCAUGUUAAGAGUCACUCAAUCUUUUUUGGAGCUUUUUCUUUAUUUUUUUUCCCCGCUUUAAUAAUAUUUUUGAAUUGGACAUGUGCCCUUAUAAUUAAAUUCUGGGCCCUUUUUCUUUUUCAAAAUUUAUUAGCUGUCCCCUCUUCAGAAAGUACCCAUGGCUUUUGCAGCCUUUUUAGUUUUUAUACCUUCGGGCUUAGGACGAAGUUUAUUUACUUACUCCCGUUGCUUUCAUAGAUUUCACGAAAAGUAUUUUUCAAGCCAAUGCCGAUGCCGUACGUGUGAUUGAUCAAAAUGGAAGCUGUAAAUCUUUAACUUUGACUGGCUUCCACCGAAAAUUAUAAUUCACUAUUAAGCAGCUUGUGCAUAAAUCUUCACGGAUUAGGAUUACAGCUGGCUACUGCUUGUUAGUUUUUUUAACCCUGACAAGACUCUAAAUAUUAACAAGAUGAUACACAUUAUAUAUAUAUAUAUAUAUUUUGGUGACAACCCAUCAGUACAGUGCAUUGGAUUAACUGACAAUCAUAAAAACCAAGGCAAGAGUAAACAGGAAUUAAUUUCAUGGUUUCUUUUUGAAGAAAAAGGGAGUUAGAAUCUUUUGAGUACCCAAAGGGGAUGGUUGGGGGGAUGGCAACUGAUCGAGUUGGUGGCAAGCAUAUACGAAGGGUGCUAAAAGGUGUGAUUAGGCAUACUCGUAAAAGCAGCACUGAACUUGAGCAAAACGCCAAAACUCAAGAGAAAAGUUGAUUUUCGAUCGAGGAUGAGAUGGAGAAGCUCGUGAAAUAAUUAGUCCAUGGAAUGGAUAGAUGGGCAUGGCAAAAAGACCAGGUUUUUCGUCACCAUUUUUGAAAUUCUAGCAGCUAAACGAGAUUGCGAUUGCGACUUGCUGUAGUAGGCCAAACGCAGUUUUCAGAGAUGAUGAGAUGCUAAUACUGUACUGAUAGGCCAUCUUCUUGGCUUUCGACGAGAGAGCACUUCUAGCCUAGGGGAUGAUCAGUUCAAUUCGUCAAUUCACGAUCGACAAUGUGUGUGUGUGUGUGUGUAAUUAACGGCUUUAGAUGACAAAAACAAGCAUUAAACAAAGAUCAUCUCCAGAAUUAAUGUUCUUGACAGAUUAAUCUAAUGAGAUGGCUCAACAAUUAUUCUAAACCAGAAAAACUUUUUCUAUGACAUAAAUUGAAAAAACACCGCCCUUUACAUCAUUCUUUAAAGUUCUUGUCGUAAGUUUCAUGGCUAUUGUCUCAUCACUCCAGGCCUGAGCAAAUCAGCUAUGCUCUCCCUUUCCAUGCUGCGACGUAAUACUGAUUAAGGGAUUUAAGAAGGAAAGAGAAAGGGCAGUUCUUUUCAUUUUCAUCAACUCAUGUUCCAGAUUAAAGUCACUUUUCUCACAUGCACUAUAUUUUCGAACCUAUUCUAGUACUGAUAAAUCAAUCCCAUUAAGCUGUUGCAAAGAAAAUUCUGGCUAAUUAAUAAUAACACAAUUUAUGGAUUUGUAUGGAAUAAAAAAAAAAGAUAAGUAGAUAAGUGUCAGUUAUCUUCACACUUCUUCUUUAGAAGAAAAUGUUUUUCUGACACUUGACAACCAUACAUAUAUAUAUAUAUAUAUUUUACUACAUAGGAUUAUAGGACAAAGCCCUAGAAACUUUCUUCUCCUUUUCUUCUCAAUUAAUUACCCAUGAAUUGGCAUCCAUUACUAGUAAGUAAUGCAAUCCUUGAUUCGUGAAAUUGUCUUGAUGAUUACCUUCUUCUUCUUCUUCUUCUUCUUCUUUAAUUUUUUCUUGAUGUUUGGUUUACCAAGGCCUCAGUCCCCCAGCCCCAAAACAUAAGCAAAAUCCAGAAACGCAUGCACAUGCAUGGGUGCUUUGCACUGAGCAUGCAGUCUAAUUAAGCAGAUGCGCGUGCCAGCAGGGCGUACCCAAAUUGCAUUAAGAAUUAAGCUUUAAUCACAGAAAACGACAGCUUUGAAAAGGUAUAUGCAAGAAAGUACUCUUACUAUUUGCUUGCCAUCAAAAAGCUUCAAACUGUUAAUAUUGUAUUUGUCUGGAAUUACAUAUAUGUAAUGCUGCCUAGAUUCAAUAUAAUUGGAGUUUGAGUUUGGCUCGUCAGAAACUGAUUAUUAAUUCGAGUUGAACCUGCUUAGCAGGACUUGAUUUGCUAAGUUUUUUUUUUUUUUUUUUUUUGAAGGACUUGAUUUGCUAAGUUUAAUUUAACUACAUGCAAAAGAAUAGCUGAAUAGGAGUAUACUACUAAUUUAACUACUGGAAGCUAGAAAUGGAAAAGAGAAUGUAGCUUAGCAGUAAAGAAAUAAUAUGGAAGGUAUGUGAAAUAGUAAAAUAAGAUGGUAGCUGAGAGAGAUGGGAGCUGACACAAGGAACAUCUAGGGAAGUGGGAAAGAGAAACACCCAAAGCAAAGAACUUUGGAACCCCAGAAUCCAAGUGUAAUUCCCAUCUGUCUACAAAGCCAAAGUAAAGAAUAACAGAAAUCUGUAGAAUCCAUCCAUCCAUUGUGUUUAUGCUCUAUAAAAAUUGACACAGAAAAGCUAAAGUUUCAGUCUUUGUAUCGGAGACUGGAAACACAACCCCCACACGCCCCUCUCUCUCUCUCUCUCUCUCUCUCUCUCCCCCCUAUUCAUUCUCUCUCUCCACUCAAUUCCCUUGAUCCCUUCUCUUCCCUUUCCGAGUUUUCAAAAAGAAGAAGAAAAAAAAAAAAGAAUAAUGCAUGUCUUGAUCACAAUUCAAAACCCCAGUAUUUAUUUCCCCACAGCCACAUGGGUAUAACUCUAGAAAAACGCACUUACACCAACGCAACCUCCCAUUCCAUCCAUUUCUUUGUUUUCUUUACUACUAGCUCUUGCCUUGGAGUUGCAAAUUGUCAGGCCAUAUAUCAGAACCGAGGAAUAGAAGCUUAGGAAAUGGUGGCAAUGGUGGAAGUGUGAAUAUAGCUUGCUUAGAAUAGUCAGUUUGUGUUGGAUGGAUUUGCUUGGAGCUGUGCUGCAAUUGGCAAAUACUAAGCUGAAGGAUAAUAAUUGGCGCAAUCUUGAUCAACAGCACCGGAGAAGAAUAAGACAAUUUCAAUGUACAAAAGCACAGACGGUUUCACUUAUACAAGAAGAGUCAGAAGCAACAAGACAUACAAGAAACCCCUCAUCGAAAAUGGAUUAUUCUUCUCCUUGUGGCUGCAGCUGCAACAUGAUCAUUCCCCCAAUCAUUUAUAUUCUUGUUUGCAUUCUGUUCUUCACCUCCUCUGUUUGUCCUGCUCAUUCUCUUGAAUCCCGAAACUCCAGCCAUCAAGCCAAUCAAACUUUCCGGCCGGGGGAGGAGUCACAGAAGCUAAAAACGAUUAGAGCCCAUCUCACGAAAGUCAACAAGCCAGCUGUCAAGACAAUCCAGGUAAGUGCCAAUACCUAUUUCCAUUAAAUAAAAUUGCUUCGUUAAUUUGCCUUCUUUUUCUCAUUUCUCUCAUCUUCUUUCUUGAUUGUCUGGGUGAGCAGAGUCCGGAUGGUGAUACAAUAGAUUGUGUAUUGUCCCAUCAUCAACCAGCUUUUGAUCAUGCUAAAUUGAAAGGGAAGAAACCAUUGGUACGAGAUCAUCUAUUUAGUUGAAUUAUUAUGAUGAAAGAGUUAGUAUUACGCCUUUUUUUUUUCUUUCCCUCUUGUGGUGGUGGACAUGUUUAACAUUAAUUUCAACGUUAACAAGAAGUUCAUAAAUUUGUAGGAUCCACCUGAAAGGCCAAAAGGACAUGAUACAACUGGCAUUUUACCAGAAGAAUUCCAACUGUGGAGCAUGUCUGGUGAAUCAUGCCCUGAAGGUACAGUUCCAAUCCGAAGAACAAGUGAACAGGAUAUCUUGAGAGCUAAUUCGAUCGGAAGAUUUGCAAGAAAAUUACGAAGGCCUAUUCGAAGAGACACCACCAGCAAUGGCCAUGAGGUCAGUGCUCAAGUCUAACAGAAUUUUGAAAUGAGGAAUUAAAUUAAGGUCCAUCCAUUCGGGGAAACAAAACUGAAAAAGACAAGUUAUGGUCAAAAAUUGCGAGUAAAUGUGGAAACUUUACCGCUGGUGGCUCUUUACUUCUCGCAACAAAUUCGUGUCAGACUUCUUUUUCAGCAUUUUACUGACUUUCAUGGCUCUUUCACCUUUCAUUCUUUCACUGAGUUGGAAGGAAAGAAUACGCGGUUCCCCAAUUAAAUGCAUGAAUCUCUGAAUCACUCGCUUAUUAGUUGACUCGUAAGUCUGUAUUUAUUAUGAGUAAAAAUUAUUUCCAGCAAAUAGCUGGCACAUUGCUUCGAUGAAAUAUGAGCACAUAGCUAGGAACUUAGGACCAGUAACUUGGUUGUUGGAGAAAUUAUACGUACAAAAGGGUAAAUUUGAAAUUCCAUAGUGUCUUAAUUUUCAUAUAUAUAUGUGUGUGUGUUUUUUCAACAGCAUGCUGUGGGAUAUGUAACUGGAGAUCAAUAUUAUGGAGCAAAGGCAAGCAUAAAUGUGUGGGCACCUCGAGUUGCUAGUCAGUAUGAAUUCAGCUUAUCGCAGAUGUGGGUUAUUGCCGGCUCCUUCAAUGAUGAUCUUAACACUAUAGAAGCUGGUUGGCAGGCAUGUUUUUUUUUUUUUCUGUUUAUCUAUCUCAGUUCUAAAGAAUUUAACGCUAGUUUUUAACUUAAAACCUGAUUGAAAUGGAUUGGUCAAGUACAAACUACUUGUGUAAGGCAGAUUUUUGCUGAUUACUAACUUCAAAUUACGUAAAUUAAUUGCUAUUUAGUAAGCAAAAGUGCAUGUAUCUUGCUAAUUGCCUAGAAAUUAAUAUCUUGCAAAUACCUAGCAUGUAUGACAUUUAAUGAUCACAAGGGAUCAAUUACGUACCAUGGUUUUUAAACAUAGGAAAUAAUCUGCAUGGUUUAUUUUCACAGAGACAAAUAUUUACCACAAUUCAUAUUUCAAAUUGAAAUAGGAAGUCAGCCUACUUCUUUUGAUUGGAAAGCAUACAUAGAUAGAAGGUAGUGUGAAUGGUUGGUUGCUCAAAAUUGGUAACGAAAGCACUUAUUACAUAUUCAACCACCUUUCUAAUUCAUUGAUUUUUUAUUUUUUUUUUGGUUGGGUGUAUGGAGCCAUAAAUAGAUCCUAAAUUCAUUUAAUUCCCGCAGGUUAGCCCAGAGCUGUACGGGGACAACUAUCCAAGAUUUUUUACAUAUUGGACAGUAAGUGUCUUCUAAGUGGCAGUGGAAUUAAUUAAUGCCAUUCAUUCAUUCAUCUUCUUUAACGAACUUAUGAUUAAUCGUAAUUAAUUUGACCAAAUUUAUCAAGCUAGCUAAUUCAAUGAGUGUGUUGUACAGAGCGAUGCAUAUCAAGCCACAGGUUGUUAUAAUUUGCUAUGCUCAGGCUUUGUCCAGACCAAUAAUCGAAUAGCAAUCGGAGCUGCAAUUUCUCCCACGUCUUCGUAUAAUGGUGGUCAAUUUGAUAUCAGUUUAUUAAUUUGGAAGGUAACUAACUAUUACUGCUACUAAAUUUACCUUUAAGCAUUUUUAUUCUACUUUUCACAUGCACUUUGUAUUGUCACUUGUCAAAAUCAUAAUCCAAAAGUUGUGAUUCAAUUCAAAGAGAUUUUUGUUGUCUUUUUCUCUUGGAAAACAAGAAACUUGUGCAUUAUUCUUCACUUCUAAGUUCUAACUAAGUAUGCAUACUAUGUUUGACCUUCGAGAGAGAGAGAACAAAGAAAGUUUUUUUUUUUUCCCGGAAAAAAAAAACACGCAUUGACUGUAAAACUACUACUAAAGAAGUCUAAGAAUCAAGGUUCAAGUGGGCCUAGUAGAAUCAUUAAAAUAUCUCCUCGAGAUUAUUUUUGCCUUUCCCUUUGAGUCUCUUGAAUAUGGAUGGUAUUCACAUGGAAGGGUUAGACUAGGAUCACUAAAUAUUGCAUUGAAAACUCAGUUUUUCAUGUGAUUUAUUUUUUUUUUUAAAAAAAAAAAACUUUGUCUGUUAUCUUUUUCAAUUUUUUUAUAAAUACACUUCAACCGCAUUACUUCAAUAGAGCCAAAUCCCAGAUAUGUAUGUAUAUAUAUAUAUUUUUUUAAAAAGAGAGAGAGAGAGAGAGAGAGAACGUUGUCUGUCAUCUGUAUGUAUAUUACCACCAUAUCUCCACCUUCUCUUAUAAAAUACGGGGGACAAACUAAACUUAGUCAUCUUCUCAUUUUUCAACCAACACACCCCCCCCCCCCAACCAAAAAAAAAAAGCCAUCUCCGACAACAUCACCAUGAUCAUCACCAUCACGUUUAGCCAAAAAAGAAAAGUAAAAGAAGGACUUGGUGGUAUUAGUGCCAAGACAAGAAGCUUUAUACAUCCUAGGUAUUUUGGAAGUUGGAGGCGUUAUCCCACAGGAUGUAGGUCAAGCAGCUAACAUAUAUGUACACUUUUGUUAGGUCAUUGUUUGUACGCGUGCCGUGAAUGUUACAGUUCACCACAGAGAAUGACUGCUGAAUAGCUUUGCUUCUACUACUAUACUACUAGAUUGACAAUUAUGCUUCUUUUUUUUUCCUACUUUCUCAGAUUCUGUUGGCCUUCCUUUGCAAGCAAACACUACUACCAUUUUUGUCCACCACAUAAGCUAAGAUUUUUUGCUUCUUUUUUUGGAGGAGGUGGAGGGACCAAAAACAGUUGUCUAGCAAUUAAGAACUAAAGCAGUAGUUUUAUUAGUAGUAAUGGCAGAAUAAUAUAGUAUAUAGGUAUUGGUAUAUAGUUCAUGAGCAAAUUAACAGAAUAGAAUGAAGCUCUAGAGCAUUAUGAUACUAGCUAGCAAUUUAUUAUGUUAAUUUUGCAGGAUCCGAAGCAUGGGAAUUGGUGGCUGGAGUUCGGAAGUGGGAUAUUAGUGGGUUACUGGCCAUCUUUUUUAUUUACGCACCUUAGGAAUUCAGCGAGUAUGGUACAAUUUGGAGGAGAAGUGGUGAACAGCAGGUCGGGUUUCCAUACAACCACCCAAAUGGGCAGUGGACAUUUUGCUGGGGAAGGUUUUGGUAAAGCAUCUUAUUUCCGAAAUUUGCAAGUGGUGGAUUGGGAUAAUAGCUUAAUCCCAUUAUCAAACCUUCGAGUAUUAGCGGAUCAUCCUAAUUGCUAUGAUAUUCAAGGUGGAAUUAAUCGCGUUUGGGGGAAUUACUUUUACUAUGGAGGACCCGGAAGAAAUUCAAGAUGCCCUUGAAAGCGUACACAUCUUUUCUUUUCCAGUUUUUCUUUUUACAACAUGAUGGGUUAUCAUCAGGAGAUCGUAAUAGAGGUUGGGUGAUUCUUUCCAAUUAUUUUCAAUCUAACAAGUGAUCUAUCCAUAAAUUAUACAUACGACUACUAGUUUGUCAGGGGGAGGGGGUUUGUGUAAAUUGUUACGAUAUCAAAUAGUGGAUAUAAUUUACUCUUAAUUUUUCGUCUGUGUUUAUCCUUCCGGCCGGCGUGUCUGAAAAGUUUCAUCAGAUUUUCUCACUGAUCAGUUGGGGACGGUUCAGACUUCUAAUCGAUGCAAUCCACAAAAUGUCUGAUAUGCAUAUUUAACAAGCUAGAAACGUUGAAGAGAGGAGGAGGAGGGGGAGGAGAAAAGAAAAAGAAAAUGAAUGCUGCCAACUAUCACUAAUGAACAGCCAGCACCUCUUAGCUUGAUUUCCAAGCGAGUGAAUGUGAUUUGCAGAUGAGUUGAUUAAUUGGAAUAUGCUGUACUGGAUUAUGGUAGGUUACACUCAAUGCAUGAAAGAUAUACUUAGUAGAAUUAGAGUACAAAUUAAUACUCUCCAUAAUACCUUUUCAAUUCAUGUCUAUGUGUCUUAAAUUAAGCAGACAAUGUAGUCGAGAGAAACUCCAUGAAAAUUAAUGCUUUAAGUCUUGCUAAUUAUUAUGGCGGUCCAUGAUAGAUCCAAGCAACUGUUCUCUGCUGCCUCUUAAAUGGAUCCACCAACCACCGUUGUCAACAAUUGCUGGCUUGUAGAAUAAUACUUGCUACCUGCGCACAGCCAGUUUUUAGUACAUUAAAUUAUGCAAGGCAACGAAAUUACGAUCGUGGGCCUGAAAUCAGAAACUUGCUGCUGGUAUCGAUGCACUUGCUGGCUUGCAAUCAUGGAUUGAAAUUGUGGACCUUUUGAUGCUUCCAUAUUGGAGGAGGAGAGGAUGAUGACGAUGAUGAUGAACAUUAUUAUACAUGUCUUGGGCCUUCCGGGGGGUUAUGCACUCAUGUCACAGCAGUGAUUAUGCGUAGGCUUGAUGAUUGAUCGUAAUCUGGCAAUACUAUGAUAGGCUGACCCCUAUGCUUCGUUAUAUGGUUUUGAUUUCGAGGGCGACUGCUCAUACGCCAUAAAGUUUGAACUCUGCUUCAUCUUUAUAUCUAUAAUACAAAACCUGCUAUAGACAAUAAAUAUGGAUAAUAAGAGCUACCCAUUGGUGAGAGAUUCCGUUGUGUAAAAAACAUUAUACUAAUACAAAUGCAUAAUACAAUUUUGCAUGCAUGGCUGACGAGCGAAGUACGUGCUAUUGCCGGAAAUUAUUCUUUUUUUUUUUUUCUUUCACAACAUAUUAAAGGGAAUUAAUUAUAUGUCACAUAAUUCUGUUUUUGGUUCGAGAGAGAUUCUAACAUCUAUGUUGGGAUGCAUUGAAUCAGGUCUUCGAUCUAUGGCGAUUCGACUAUGUUGCGUUUCGCUGAACUUACGGUAUAUAUUAGUUACCGUGUCUGUUUUUAUUUUGGAUCUUGAUUUUGGACCUAUUUUUGGGUCCAGUCCGUUUGGUUGUUUGGUUAUAUAUAUAUAUAUACACACCUUAUAUUCAUUCUGUUAAUAAUUCUGAUUCGUUCCAAGCGCUAAUAAAAUUUGAUUCCCCCAAAGUUGUUCUAGUGUUCUUGAUUGUUCUCUUGUUUUGUUGCAUCUGUUAUAACAAUCUAAUUACAAGGGAAAAAGGGGGAAUUAUAUGUAACCUAAUUCUUUACUCUUAAAGUAUAUUAUGUACUUGGGAUUUGGUUUAAAUGAUCACAAAUGGAGUGGAAAGUCAUAACAGGGUUAAAAUGCUCGACCACUGAAUUAUAGUGCAUGAUGGUCGCGAAUUGACUUGCAAAAAGUUCAAAUGCAAUUCAAGUUUCCUUAAUGUACGUAUCUGAAUAUUCUAUAAUUAGUCGCACUGUGAAGGCCUAACACGUCUAUCUGACUGUAAAGGCCCAGCCAUAAGUUUUGGACAUUUGUAGCCCAUCUCAAAUACGCAUCCAGUUACCCGAGUUGUGAGAGCAGUGUUGAGCGUCCAAACAAACAAAUAGUUACUCGCUCUAGGUCCGAAGGAUGAUGAAGUUCUCGUUUGGCGGCGGCUUUUAAAUAAGCACUUCUGACAUAAAUAUUUUUAAAUUAUCAAAAAUUACACUUUUUAAAUUUGAAAAAAUUAAUUAUCAAAUACUCUACAAGUACUUUUAGUGUUUAAAAACAUGUUUCGUUUUAUAAACGCACCUUCCUUAACCUCAAACGAAACUUAAUCGAAAUUGGGCAUUUCUCGCGGGCCAGCUUCUAAAUUUUUAGUCACAGCGAUGCUGAGUUCGUGUGCAUUGAUUAAACCAUAUUCGGUAAAUAAUACUACUACUUUACCAGUCCUCGGUUGGGGAACUUCCCUUUAAUUAAUUGAUUUCAUAACAUUGAUUAGGUGAAGGGGGUAAUCAACGUGAGACGUGAGAACCCCGUGUUUGAUCCCGAUCAUUCUUUCCGCAUAUUUUAAGUCAGAUUAAACACGCUUUGAAGCGUGUUUAAAGUAGUAUAUAUGUCUACUAGUAACAGGAAGUGAGGUUCAUAUAAGACGACCCCCAAGAAGUCAGUUUGGAUGCAAUAGCAAUAGAGUAUUAUAAUGCCAUCCACUGAUGACAAUUAUGCAAAAAUUAAAUUUGAAAUUGAAAUUCAAUUUUUGCACACGUGUCAUGAAUCCAACGAUUAUAGUGUAUACACUGUCAGUGCAGGAAAGAUUUACUCUAAUUAUAUUAGGUAGUACUACUAUCAAUUAUUAAGUGAUUAACCUAAUUUUUAAUAUUAGACCGUAUAUGAUCUCGAAUCUUCUUCUGUACUCGCAAAUAUAUUAGGAACACCACACUAAAACACAUGCAUAUGUGCGAAUGCGACUAUGGAUUUGACUGGGAAGGAGCAUGCAUGACCAUGCCCACACCAGUACAUACGUUAUACGUACGUGUAAUCUGUGACUUUUAAGUUUUUUCUUUAAAAAAAAAAAAAAAAAAGAGGAUAUGAUUUAUGCAAAUCAAUCUGCUAACAUCUUCAUUUAUUGGCUGCACAAACUCCCAAGUAAAUGUAAAUCUUCCAACCAGACGUCCUUAUCCCACAAAGACAAAAAAAAAAAAAAAAAAGUUAGCAGCCGGGGAUUAAUUUUAUCAAUCUUCUGAAGAAACUUCGGAUUUAUUCAGUGUACCAGUUGUAAACACCACCACAACUUUUCAAAAUUUGUCAUUUAAUAUGCAAAUGCACGAUUAUUGACUUUAUGCCUAGAGAAAACCACUUGGAGACAUGAUCAUCGUGUUGUACUUCACAUUCUGAUAGUGAAAUACUAAUAUAUGAACUCAGCAUCUAGCACAUAAUGGAUGCUCAGUUCUAUCGAGUAAAUCCAUCAAAAAUCAUCGUCAAAAUGCUACUAUAGAUUACAAUUACAAAAUGUUAGUACAAAACAACAGUUUUAUGAAGAGUACCAAAAUGUAUUUAAACUAUAUAUAUAUUUUUUUUUUAAAAUGCAGUGAGAUAACACAUGGAAACUAGUCAAAUGGAAAUGGUAGUGUGCAAUUACUCAAAAGUCAAAGGUUGAAAACUGCUCUUUUUAGGUUGGUUAUGGAAUGUAAAACGUACAAUCAAUCAGUAGUCUUUAAUUACAUCAACCUUUUCGAUGCCGUGCGUGUUUAAUGAGUUAUGAAAUGAAAUCGCCGUGCACGCAAAUUUGGGUGAGCUCCUUAUUCGUGCUUUUGGCCCUCAUUAAUUAAACUGCUCACCCACCACCGACCAUCUGCUGUCAAGUUAUUAUUUGUAAAAUUAUUUUACUUCCAUUAUAAACAAUUUUUUCAAUAAAUUAUUUAUUUAUUUUUUUACUCGCUCUAUCCCAUAAUGAUGCGUUUGUUUUUCUUCUUCACUCGUUCCAAAUUACAGUCCACCUUCUAACUGAAAAAUAUAAUUAACUUUUAAUUUAUCUAAAAUACCGUUAUUUGAUACACUUCGUUGCCAGUAAAAAUAGCCUACCUUAUUUAAUAUUGUUAACUUUUUCGCUAAUAAUUAUUUUGAUAUAUGUUUUGAAAGGUGCAAUAUACCAAUAUUAUUGUUGUUAUAGUGAAUGUAAAGGCAUAGUAAUUAGUGAUAUUUCUAAUAUUAAUAUAUGGGUAUUUUAAGAAAAUAUUAGAUUAGAUUUACUUUUUCAACAAAAUUAAUUAAUUUUUCUUAAACUAUAUGAGGAAAAAAAAUCAAAAUUAUCAAAAUGAAAUGAAAGGAGUAUUUACUUUUAAUCUUACAUACAUGCUUCACCUAAAGUACUUCAAUAUUAUUGUUUAAAAGAGUAUCGACAAAAUAAUAAUCUUCCAUAAGAGUCGCAGGCAUGUGUCCUGUGUCGAUUUUCCAUUUACAUGUAGUUGUUCAUCGAGUCUUUCCCAAAAAAGGUCAAAGAUUCUAAUCCAAUUGGUGAUUGAUUAUAAAAAAAAUAAUUAAAAAUGGUUUAGGACCAACAACGAGAAUCACAUGGUCGACUUGUUGGUAGAAGGAAAUGAUAGGUCCCUGUUUUUAAAUAGGGAAUCAGAAAUGGUUACGAGCUCAAUCAACCAACCAGAAUUUGUCGGAUUUUAAAAUGGGGAGCCGCUGCACCAUCGGGUCCCAAGCACCAGAAAGUCUAAGCCCACAACUAUUCACAGCAUAUGUACUCAAUGCUCCAACCUUCUGGUCCGCAGGGGUAGGUGGAGAGGAGGGCCGGAGAGAUACUGGACAGAUUAGGGACUAUCCAGCCUCUGUCUGAAUUGUGUGUUAGAGAUUUUUUUUUUCUUACAAAUAACUUAUUAUGGUGUUAAAUGUUUUGAAUAAAUUUAUAUCUAAGAUAAAAAAAUGGUUGAGAAAUAUUUUCAAAAUUAUUCAAUCCAAAGGGAUUCCCAAGCUUUUCGGUUUAUUCUUUAUCAGACUAAAGAGUAAAUAGCAUAAAUGCUUUUUUUUUUAAAUUUUUUUUAAGUAGAGAAGAACUAAAGGUUUUUUUUUUUUUUUUCAAUUUCAUUUCUGUUUUUGGAAAGAGGAGGACCAUGCUCUGAUAUGUAUUUCCUCCAGCUAAAGGACAUUGAAGCCAACUAAUAACUAGACCUCCAUCAUGGGUUACGAUCAUUAUGUAUGUUAAGAUAUUAUGUGUUAUAUUUAAAAAAAAAAAAAAAAACUCAACAAAAGUUGGUAAGAAAAUUUAUAAAGUUUUUUUUAAGGGAAGAUUUUAUGAAAUAUGUUUUAACUUCAUUUACUGUAUUUCUUAAUCUUACGUAUAGUCUAGUGGAUUUCCCUCCUUAAAACUACAAAGACAUCUUUUUGGAAGGUUUAGACAUUAUGAUGAAAUCCACAAUAAUAACCAUUCUUGUGUGAUUGCAAGCACUUGGUGAAAUUUCUAGGUUUAUUGUCAUAUCAUUUUUGCACAAAAAAAUGGCAUUGCAUUUCUUAUUUUAAUUUGGAGACUCAACUAGGCAAAUGGAGGAAGCAAACUUUCAUGUAAAGAAUUAGCGACAAUCUUGGAAAGGCUAAUAUAAUGAUAAUUAGGUUUUUGUAUCAACUUUUUAUCCUUCACUACAACAUUGAUGACAUCUCGCGAAAAAAGAACAAAAAGGAAAAAAAAAUAAAUAAGGAAGAAAAUAUUUUUUAUUGUCUAAGAGUUUUACAUUAAAAGAAAACAAGAGAAAUAAGGAGUAACAAAAUGAAGACAAGCUAGUAUAUAUACAUUAUUGAACAAAACAAAUUAGAGGUAUACGCCACUAACAUACCGAACAACAAAAUAACUAGUAGAACAAUUAGCAAAUGCAUUCCAUUUCUAAUCUAAACUAUCAAACAAAUUAUCCUUAUUUGGAUUAUGGUUAUUCAUAGAAAAUUUUUUAUAUUUUUCGUGAACACAUUUCCUUAUCACCUAUUUAUCUCAUAAAUAACAAAUUGUUACAGUAUAUUUUUUGACAAAACUCUUAAAAAUAGCAAUCCAAACGAGAAAUUUUUCUGCAUUUUUUUUACAUUGAAGCUUGCUCUUUUCCUUAGAUACUUUGCUAGACCUAUAGUUUGGACCCAUAUGCCUCUUCUUCCCUCGUAUUACUUCCAACAAAUUUUUUAAAUUAAUUUUUCGGUGCUAAACAAGAAGUUUUCUUUUGCAAGCUCCUAAUCUAGAGGCCCAUUUGGCAAGUAAGUUUUUUGGGUAUUUGUCUAAAAUUUUACUGUAGAAGUUGUAGAAAAUUUUUUUGAAGUGUGUAAAUUUUUUAAGUAUAUAGUUUACAAAUUUUAAUUUUUUUUUUGAGAUUACUGCAGUUAAAAUUAUUAAAAAAACUUGUAGCAAACAAAUUUGAUAAAAAAUUUGCUUGCCAAACAAGUCCUAGCUGUGGUGAAAAAGUUGAGUGGACGGUGAGGCAGCCGCGUUCUUAGAAAUUAGGAGGAGGAGAACGCGAUGGAGUGGGACCGUUGGGAAUUUAGCAUAUGAUACAUGGCAUAAAGAAGCAGAAACUUCCAGCUCCAGAUCCAAUCCAGCACAAAAACACGGUGGAAAGAAACGCCUAGAAUCUCUUGACUAAUCCGACUGUCCCUCAAUUUAGGAUCCCUUAAUUUAAGCCUAUUUUGAUCCUCCCAACCAUUCAAAGCUUAUUUUGGAUUCUGCAACCAGUUUCUAACUUUAAUCGUCAUGUACCUAUCCACUUUGCUUAGGCUAAAUCUUCUCGGUCCCUUCACCAAAUAUUCAUAGCAAACAAAGAGGUCAUUGCUUGGACCUUCCAAACCGGAUAUUGUCCCAUUUUGUAGGAUCCCCAAGUCUGUACAAGACCACAUAGAUGUCUGCGAAAGAGUUAUGUCUCAUGCCACGUGGCACAAACGUCAACCCAAACUCUUUAAUGGCAGCCUCUCUAAGACGCAAGAAAAAAAAAAAAUCAAGAAAAGUAUUAUUCACUGGUACAAGCGUACCAAAGUUUUAGUACUACUUAUUAACAUGGGUUGGUCAAUUAAUAUUAAGGGGUCAUUUCAUUUCAUUUCAUUUCUGUUGCCUGACUGAAUGAGAAAAUUGUGGAAAAUAUACCACGUUCGAAAUUGGCAGUAGCAGGAUAAAUUCUGCAAGGCCAAUUGAACAAACUAACCUAACUGAAAAAAGAGUGCCAAAAUUUUCAACCCUUCUUUCAAACUAACCAAGAAAAGAACUUUUGUCCAGAGUUUGAAGCUUCUCAUACAUUUGAGCCUUCUCCUUCUUCUCCUUUUCUUGGAGAAGGCUCUCUGGUUCGGUAGGGUUUUUAAUUAUUCAAAUAUUUGUAUGUGCAUUCAUAGAUAGAACAAAAUUGUAAGUAAUAGUGACAAAUAUUUCUUGAGGGAAAAAACUAAAAGAAGAAGAUGAUUAGGUGCUGGACACCUGCUCUGCAAUUGGCAGAGCUAUUUGUGAGUUCUUUGGUGCAUAUGGGGUAUGGGUUUUACAUAUUUAGCACAGCUGUUGCUGGGGAUGCCUCACAGGCUCUGAGUGAUAUGCUUUUCAAGCCUAAUCUUGAUCCUGCUCCGAAAAAAGAGGGAUCAAAUGAAACCCCCAAUGCUGAUGGCCUUCCUCCCAUUGUCUUGGUUCAUGGAAUUUUUGGCUUUGGCAAAGGGGUAUGUUUUACAAGCUCCAUCCAUUUUUCAUUUUCUUUUAUUUUUUUAAAAUUUUCUUGGGUUUGUUUAAUUGCCUUGAUUUUUGGUCAGUUUUCGUCUGUUUCCUCUAUUGUUUCCAGAGACUGGGAGGGCUAUCUUAUUUUGGUGGGGCAGAGAAGAAAGAUGAGAGGGUUCUUGUGCCUGAUUUAGGCUCAUUGACAAGCAUUUAUGACAGGUAGAUUUUAUUCAUAGCUUGUUGCUCCAAAGUACUGGUUUUGUUACUUUUCGGCAUUGGUCUUGCAAAAUUAUGAUGGGAAUUUCGGCUUUAGGGCUCGCGAAUUGUUCUAUUACUUGAAAGGGGGGCAGGUUGAUUAUGGGGAAGAACACAGCAAGGCUUGUGAUCACUCCCAAUUUGGAAGGGUGUAUGAGAAAGGUUGAAACUUUAUCACUUUAUCACUUUCUUGCUCAAUUGUCUUUAUUUUAUUGCUGUUAUGAUUUAUUAUUGGGGAGGGUUUUCGACGUUUCCUAUUGAUCGCUGGAAUUUUAUGAUCAGGGCACUAUCCUGAAUGGGAUGAGGAUCACCCUAUUCACUUUGUGGGGCAUUCCGCUGGAGCUCAGGUUGUUCGUGUUUUGCAGCAAAUGCUGGCAGCAAAGGUAAGUUUGUUUACUCCUGUUAGUAAUUGAUUAUCGAGGAUGUAUGAAUAGCCUUUUUAGUAAAGAGGAAAUAUUCUUUAUGUGUUUCAGGCAUUCAAGGGACAUGAAAACACUUCAGAAAACUGGGUUUUGAGCAUAACUGCGUUAUCUGGAGCAUUCAACGGGACAACAAGGACUUACAUUGAUGGAAUGCAGUGAGUCUUCUGAAAACUAAAGAUUUUGUCAAAUUUCACCUUUAUUUGUUAGCUCAAUGAUAUGAAUGAAAUUUCAGAAACUAUUUCUGUGGUACUUCAAUCAUCGUAAUACUACUGAUCAGCUGAUUCUGGAAGUCAUGAUAUUGGACUAUCUGGUGUUGGAUUUGAGCUAAUGUAUCUGUGCAUUAAAAUCUCUUACACAAUACUGUAUCAUCAGUUCUUAUAUUUUUUUGCUUCACCUGAAUCUCUUUUUACGAACAGCCAGCUCAACCUUUCUUGUUUGUUAACCAAAUUCCGCAUUUGAUAAUGGUUAUCCUGACAUGUCAUUCAACUUCAAUCUGACUGCAGACCAGAAGAUGGCAGGUCUUUAAAACCUAUCUCUUUGCUUCAGCUGUGCCGCAUAGGUGUAAUUAUUUAUGAUUGGCUUGAUAUUUCUUGGCUAAAAGCCUACUACAAUUUUGGUUUUGAUCACUUCAACAUGUCUCGGAAGAAGAUUGGCGUUAGGGGUCUUAUUGACUGUCUCAUAGGAAAUGCUGGUCCAUUUGCAUCAGAAGAUUGGAUACUUCCAGAUCUAACACUUCAAGGGGCUAUAAGAUUGAACAGCCAUUUACGAACAUAUCCCAAUACAUACUACUUCAGCUAUGCUACCAAACGUACACGCAAAUUCAUGGGCAUUACAGUUCCUUCUGGAAUAUUUGGCAUACAUCCUUUAUUUUUCAUCAGAGUCCUGCAGAUGAGCCAAUGGCGGCUUCCUCCAGAUGUCUCUCCCCCUUAUAAAGGCUACAGGUGUGUGCUAGUUUAUAAUUUUACUCUCCCCACACCCCCCCCCCCUCGGCGAGGCUCUGUUUCUGAAUAUGCCCAAGGUUUCCUUGUUGGAAGAAAUUUUAAUAUUGUGUUAUGUGUUGCAUUUAAUUCACUUGCAGGGAUGAAGAUUGGUGGGACAAUGAUGGAGCACUCAACAUUAUAUCCAUGACACACCCUCGUUUUCCAGUUGAACACCCAAGCUGCCAUGUUAUAAAGGAUUCUGAUUGCCAACCCUUGCAGCCAGGCAUUUGGUUUGUGAACGGUCUCCAUGCUCCAUUAGCAAAUUUAUUACUGUUUGUGUGGGGAAGUAUAAUGUUGAAUGUUCAUUAAUAUCUUCAAAUUAUGAUACUCAACUAUGCAUUUCACUCUUAUCUUUUACACACACGUGCAUGCGAUAAACAUUUAUAGAGAUCAGAUUAAGGAUUUUUUGGGAUCCGUUCAAGGUAGUUAUCUUUCUUCUUUAAUCAUCACAGAUUAUACCCUUUAUUUAGGGUAUGGAACUAUAAUUAGUACUCCCUCCCUCCCCCCUCCCCUCUCUCUCUCUCUGUAUGCGUAGUGCAGUUUGUGAAUUUAUAUCCAGCUGACAUAUAGAACUAUUAUUGAGUAUCAGUUGUUACUUGCUGAAUUUUUUGGACGUGUGUUCUCGAGUUUACAUACUUGGUUUUAGUCACAACUCACAGCACACGCUCUUCUUGGGAUUUUUUAGAUGCUUCAAAUUUGUCAUUAAUCUCUUUCAUAUAAAGCUCAAUGUUUAGGAAAAAAUAUGCACCCUUAUAUAGGUGGAUAACUUAUAAUAAAUCUUAUUAGGAGAUAUGAACAUUUACUUUUAGCUGCUUUCUCUCUCUCUCUGCAUUGAGUGUCUUGGUGUUUAUUGGCUUGAAAAUUUUGGUUAUGACUGAAGAUUUAUUAAUCUGAUAACUCAUUUAUUUAAACUAUCAUCAUUCUUGUCUGUCCUUGGUGCCAGAUUUUGCUUCAGUGCUAGAUUUCUAGAAAGACUCGAUAUUAAAGAAUUCAAGUCCUUGUUAUUAUUCAUACAAAGUGGAUGAAUUAAUUUUUUUUGCCAACACAUAUUUCUCGUGUAUACAACUUUGAUUAUUUGAUUACCCUGUAUGAACUUUUUAUUACUUUUUUUACCUUUUAAUGAUAAAGAGUCCAUAUGUGGAAAUAUUUGCAUGUUUAAAAAAUUUGCAUGAUAUUGCAAUCCAUGAUCUGACGUUCAUCACCAAAACUUUUAUGCCAAAUGAAGUGAAAUAUCAGCAUACCUCAAGAUUCUGUCAAAAAGAAGCAUUAGGUCUAUGGGUGUCCAGGUCACUAUGGGGUCUGUUUUUGACGUCAUUUACCCUGCAAUGCCUGAAUAGUUCCUUAUGAAAUCAAAGCCAUGCAUAUACUUAUUCUUUUAGGCCAAUUGGAAGUGUUUUAUAAGUUCACCUCUCUGAGCAGUGCAUCUCAUCUAUGUAGUGUUGUAUCAUAUCUCUAAAAAGGUUCCUGUAUUUAUGAGGAGCUUACGAGGUUUGAAUCCAAUCAGGUAGGUUAUCCCCUGAGAUGAUUUAAGAAUAAGUCCCUCUGAAGUGAUUGCUUUGUAAUAUUGCCUAAUGAACAAUUGUGUUGGAGCAUAUAUCUGAAUCUUUAAAAACAAAUGAAUUGUGCAUACACAAAUGACUAAAAUUUGAAUUGGGCUAGACUGGGAAUUUGAAUUAGUCAGGCGUUUGGGUCUAUGCCAGCUGAUGGGUUCUGUACCAGACUAGUAAACUUGUAUUGUGAACACAGUCAAGCAAUAGCCUAGGUAGCUAUAACCUGAAGUUAGAAUCCAGGAUGAAAUCUUGGUUGGUUGAUGAUACUCCACAUGACCACAGCAUUUUGCAUGUAGCACUGCAUUCUUUAAUUACGAAGGCAUCCAACUGGUGGAGUUCUGUGAUAGUCAUGUAAAUGUUCCCAUGUGUGGUGCAGGUAUUAUAAGAUCGUGGAAGGCGAUCACAUUCUUUUUAUCAUCAACCGGGAAAGGGCUGGAGUUGAAUUUGAUUUGAUAUAUGACAGCAUCUUCGAACGCUGCAGAAAGCAUGCAUUUAGGAAAACUCCCAUCUUGCCGGACCAUGUACAGUAACAGUUCAUACGCGUUGCUUUGGCUGUCAUAGAUAUGCCUAGGCUCAUAUAGAUUUAGAAUUAAGAGUAUCAACUAGAAUACUCUUUGGCAGUAGAUUCCUUCCUUCUCUUUUUUUGUCAUUUUUAUGGAAAAUGGUUGUAAAUGCUAACAGAUAUAAUUCCUGCCUUGUCAGAAAGUGGUAGUCCUGAUUACCGUCCAUCUUUACUUCCUAGUUUCUCUGUAAAUGACUUUGUAUCAGUCAUGCAAAUGACAGUAACAGUUCAUGACGUGCUUAAAUGCAGUUUUUAACCUUUCUUGACUCUGUGAAUGUUGAUGCAUUGCAACACUGGAAAGUGAAAAUCACGACGGUUAACUUCUUACGCACUCGAGAGCCGAAAGGUCCAAAAUGUCCAGCUUUUGGAACAAACGAAAGUGAAGAUCAGGAAAUGCUUGUAAUGUUAAGCAGGAAGAGAGAGCUGUGAAUUGGAAUCCAAUCCGCCUGUUGAGAGAGGAAGGCCUUCAGGAAGGCGUUAUGAAUUUUUUUUAUCGAGUCUUUCUUGUUUGACGAUAAAUCCACACAUGCAUUAUCAGGGGCCGCACAUGGUUAUCAUCUGUGGCACAUGCUAGUCAUACUCGCGAACCAGCUCUCGUGUUCUGGGAAAACGAAGGAGCAAGACGACAACAACAAAAGAUGGCAUUGAACACUACUAAUCACUGACGCGAAUCUGGUCCUCCUCUAAACCAUAACCGCUUACUAUAAUAAACUCUUGCAGAACAAAACAAGGAAAAGAUUGAGACUUGAAAUUCAAUUUGAAGUGACGUGUGAUACAGAAACAGGAGUGAUGAAGCUGCCGGCCAAGAAACAAGAAGAUUCCUAGAGAAGUAGGUUGACCUUUCAAUGGUUUUUGAUCAUUAGUCAAAUCUAGAGUCGAAGGGGCAGCAUUGACACACCAUAACAUGCAAAAUCCAGAGGUCUUCCUCCGCCUGCUGCAAGUCCGCAACGCAGCAUCGUUAGAAAAAAAAAAAAGCGACAGUGCCGACAUCUAGCCAUAACAGAAGAUCGAUGAAGGUGUCCUCCCCAAGACAUGAACCAUGUUUUCUUUUAGCAUGAAUCUUGCUUCCUAAAUACUACCCUCUUCCUUCGUCGCUAAAGAUUAAAAUGGUCUCGAUCUAAUAUUUGCAGUUCCUUCUGAUGUGGAUCAGCCGUUUUGGUCGGUAGAUGUGGAUCAGACUUGUAAAAGAAUUCUUUAUAAUUAAGUUGACUGUGCAGAGCGGAACGAAGGACUUAAACGUACGCUCUUUUUCCCACUGUUUUUCUUCCAGAAACGGGAAAUGUGAUACAAUUUAGUAGCAUUUUUGCUGUUUUCAUCUUCAAAAGCCUGGUAACUUUUCCAGUAUCUCCGCAUAUGAGAUGGAAGAUGCAAGUUAAGUUCCCACAUUUAUGCCAAACAGCGUGCUGCAUUCAAAGAUGUGUAGAUCUCUUAUACAUUUCAACUAAAACUUUCUUUGUCAUAUUACAUUUUCAUUUACUACUAGUUUGCGUGCUCUUUCCACAGGAUAUUUCAAAAAUGAUAGGAUUUUUGAAAUGACAAGAAUUGAUAGUUCAGGAAAAAUGACAUAAUAGUGGAUAUCAAAAGUUAGGGACAUGUUAAUGGCACUCUCUUAUUUUAUGAAAUUAUAAUCAAAAUGAAGAGUGAAGAUCUUUUUAUCCUGUUACAUAAUAAUAGUAAUAAAAAAAAGCUUGACAGGAGUGUUUUUAAUAUUUUCCUAAAUUAUUGCUUAACAAAUAUUUUUUUUUAAUUCCUAAAGAAAUGGUUAAAAUCAAUGGGAUGUUCUCGUUUCAGUUUUUUCACAUGAUUUCAAAUUCUAAUCUUGAAAAAUCAUUUGUUUUUGUAGUUAGAUCUUAAAAUUUUCAAUAGACAAAAAAAAAGCUAACUAAAAUUUAGAGAAUUUACCCAAGGGUUAACUUUUUUAUUUUUUUCCCCUCCAACAAUAGUUUUUUCUUGAUCGUUAUUAAUUAGCUUUUUUGCAGAUUAAUCUGCCACAGCUAAAUACAACCCAACCGUUGAAAUCUCAAGAAUUUAACAUAAAAUAACUCUAAAAUAGAUUAUCAGUUUGGCUAACGGGAGCACCCAUUAAGAGGUUUCUCAUGCAUGAAUAUGAAUAUGAAUAUGUUUCUACAAAAUAAUUUAGAUGUAAUGUAGAUAUUUUAUUGAGUGCCCAUUGAGCGUGCAUUAGAAAAUUCUAUAGAUUAUUAUUACGAGAAUAGAAAGCCAUCCUUCAAUAAGUUUCUUAUCAAAAUUGAAACAACUCACUAAACAUACCUAAAGUUUUCCAAAUUUUUUAACACUCAUCCAUUCACUGUAACAAGAUUUUCUUUCCUUUAUUUACAUAGUCAAAUGUUCGUCUGUAUCCGAUUUAUUUGAUACUUUCUUCCAUUUUUAGAGAAGGUGCACUCAUUCGGAUUUCAAGAGAUGGUACGCGGGAUAAGUACCACUUAAAAAGAUCUCCUUUUAUCUCUAACUCUGGUCACCUGAGUCAUUCACUUUCCUGACCCAAAUCAAUCGUGUAAAUUUAUAGAUUUCGCCAAUGUGUUAAAGAAACAAAGGAAAGAAAUGGAAGGAUAAGGAGAAAUUCAUUGAAUUUGUCUUCAUUCAGAUUAUCGUAUUAUUAGAGCAUGAAAUUUAAACUCACCGAAGGUAUAUUUUAUGUAGGAAUCUUUCUUGUCUCCUGCUCUAUAUAUUCCAAAGAAACAUUGGACAUGGGGUCGGAAAAAAAAAAAAAAAAACUUCCCAGUGUUCUUUAUCCACGAACUCUUCAGCAUAAAACCACCCUGAAAGGUAGCUAGUUUCAGUUUCAGAAGGAGAGAAGAGAGAAGAGAAAAAUGUGCGGCAAAACCCAGGAUCAAGCCAACGCCACUGAACAGGACUCAGCUGCUGUUGCCUCUGAAAUUGGAGGAAGCGGGACAAAACCAAAUCCUUCCUCACUAGCACCUGUAAAUCUUGAUCAGUAAGUAAUUAUUUUAUCCUUUUUCCUUUAACCAAAAAUGUCUUUUGGCAGCCUAAUAGCUUAAGAUUUCUUCAUGUUUUUUGCAAUUCCAAGCCGGGUUUAAUAUCCACCUUUUGCUGUCUAAAGUCUUUAACUGGCCAUUUAUUGAAACCCAUGAAAAAUCCUUUCUUAUUGUUUUCGUUUUUGAGGCACGUUACAAUUUUGCAUAAUUUUUUAGCCUUCAUCUUCAUGCAUGAAACUUUCCCAUACGUAACGCAUAUAAUUAUUAUGCCAACCCGCUGAUUUACUUUAAAUUCAUGAUUACCCUUUUUUAAUCAAACAACAGACUACUUGCAUGCAUAUCUUUCAUUUUUAGUUUUUGUUCUCCAAAUUGAUAAGGAUGGUUUUUUUUUUUGUUUUUUUUUUAUUUUUAUCUUUGGUGCGUUACACAGCGGUGAUCCUACUGCAUAUGAGACCUACUGGAGUAAGGUAGGUGAAAGGAGCACAAUUACAUUUACGGGAGAUCAGUCCUUGAGUUAUUUUGCCAAUGCCAAGAACUUGUGCUGGUUUUUGGAGCCAAAACUGGAGGAGGAAAUCAGGAGGUUGCAUCAUGUGGUGGGCAAUGCAAAGGUGGAUGAUCAUUUCAUCAUAGUGGGCAACGGAUCAAGUCAGCUUAUUCAGGCUGCCCUCUAUGCUGUAUCCCCUUCUGAUCAACCUCAGCCCACAAGUGUGGUUUCAGCCGCUCCUUACUACUCGGUUAGCUUUGUCGGCUUCCAAAUCAGUCAUCAAUCCCUCUUAUAAAUUAGUAAUUGAUUUGACUUUUUAGAAAUGUUAGUUUAUUUGUAGUACAAGUUUAUUUAAUCGGCCAAAAGUCAGUUGAACAUAAGUUGUACUAUUGUUUGUGUAAGACAUAAACCUUGUGCUAAGCUGAGCAUACAAAGCAUGGUUCGAAGUCUCGGCCGAGACCGAGACGACUCGGCCGAGUCGUCACCGUCUCGGUCCCUACCGAUACGAUACCGUGACGAAACGAUACCGAAAUACUUGACUCGCCGAGAAAUCGGCCGAGUCGUCACCGCGACGGAUUGAAUCGGCCGAGUCACACCGCAACGGAUUGACUUGGCCGUUUCUUUUGCUAUUUUUUAAUUAUUUUUAUUUAGCAUACUUUUUUAUAUUAUUAACAAUUUUUAGAAUAUUAAAUACUUUAAAAUUUGCGUCUCACCGAGACCGCAACCGAUAUGCCGAGACCGAUGUGGAACGUUCCGGGCCGCGACCGUGACUUUGAACCAUGAUACAAAGUGAUCUAGACAAUGUAAAUUCGCUAAUCAUGGGCAUGUGAAGGUUGCUAGAAGGAUUAAUUUUGUUUAAGUUUCAAUCAUGUGUAAUGCUACUAUUUAAUGUACUAAUGCAGCCGCCUAAUCACUUUCUGUCUCAAUUGAUUUAAUUAUGUCUCCCAAGUCCUAUGCAUUUAUAAUUAAUUAUGUUGCUUGUUUAUUUGCAGGCAUACCAAGAAGUGGCAGAUUUGUUGCGGUCAGGGCUCUACAAAUGGGGAGGUGAUGCUUACAGUUUUAACAAAGAUGAACCGUACAUAGAGAUGGUAACCUCCCCAAAUAACCCUUGUGGGAUGACGAGAGAACCGGUCGUGAACCGGCCUCAAGGAAAGAUCAUCCACGAUCUUGCUUAUUACUGGCCUCACUACACUCCCAUUACCUCUCAAGUUGACUAUGAUAUCAUGCUGUUUACUGUUUCCAAAUGCACCGGGCAUGCUGGUUCAAGAAUUGGGUAAGGCUUCUGUUAUCUAAUAUCCUAAUUAAUUCCUAGUAAAGACAACUAAAUAUAAUAUUCUCGUGCUUGAGUUAUAAUAUUUUUCUAUUGCUAUGAUUUGCAUGAGAAGAUGGGCUCUUGUGAGGGACAAGGACGUGGCAAGAAAGAUGGUGGAUUUAAUGGUGAUUAGCACAAUUGGGGUUUCUAAAGAAUCCCAACUUAGAGCUGCUAAGAUUCUGGGAGUCAUUUCAGAUAGCUGCUUACUGGAUAAAUCUCCUGGCCUGGAAAACUUCUUUGAAUACGCUCAGCAUCUCAUGGCUGCAAGAUGGGAGAAGUUGAGGGAGAUUGCGAAAGUGAAUGAACUAUUUAGUCUAACCGAGUACCCCUCCGAAUACUGCCUCUUUACCAAAGAGUUCACUGAAGCUCGUCCUGGUAAUUAAAGCUUUGAUUUUGGACUUAAAACACUUUAUCUUUCUGUUCUUCCAAGCAUUUUGGUUUACAAAUAGCUUCAUGUUUUUUUAACACUCUUACCCAAAUUUUGGGGCAGCUUUUGCAUGGAUGAGUUGCAAGUCUGAUAUGGAGGACUUAGAGAAAAUUCUAAGAGGACACAAAAUUCUGGCAAGAGGUGGAAAGCGCUUUGGAAGUGAUCCAAAGUAUGUGAGGAUCAGUAUGCUAAGUAGGGAUCAGGAGUUCAAUCUCUUUCUGGAGAGGCUAUCUUCUAUCCAUGGAAUUACCAGUGGGAAUUGAAUGUCACAUGCAGGAAUUGGGAGAUACAGAAAUUACAUACAUUGCACACAAGAAAAAAAAAAGGAUAUUACCUACACUGGGUGUAAGAAACAAAGAUUAGGAUCCAUCUAGAAAAUAUGAAAUAGAUUGGAUGGAUCAUACAUCUCCUGUAGUAUAUUGUAUGUAGCUACCUAGCCACCAUGCAUGUCCUGUGAUAUGCUAAUGCAUGGUUGUGGGUGAAAUUGUAUACGACAUACUAAUGAAUGUCUUAAAAAGAUUUGAGAGCUAAUGUUAUACUUCCUAUUCUAGUUUGUUUGAACCAACUUCUUUUUUUCUUUUAACAAAAGUGGAAGGCAGCUAGAUAGGUUACGCCUCCAAGGCCGUAUCAAGAAAAAAACUCCUACAGUAGCUGAAACUUAGGUAGGUGGCUGAAACUUGGAGUACUAAAAUUGACAAAGCUUGGAGUACUAAAUUAGUGGCAAAGCUUAUGGUAAAAUUGACUCUCAAGCUUGUGAAAGUACUUAGAAUUCUUCAACAAUAAACCGACUUCGGUGAAAUUGAUAUGAUGUAGACAAGAUGUCUGUGACAGUGCGAUUACUUAUUGCUGGUAAAUAACCAUGAAGAGCUAUUUUGAGGCGUCGAUGUAAUGAAAUCAUUGGCAUUUCUAGCAGAAGUUUCUUAACUAUAUGUUCUAAAAUUUUUCUAAGUUAGAAUAAGGAAAAAUGAUGAGCUUAAGAAACUAAUUCGGCAUAGAACAAAGAUUUUCAUAUUAAUGUACCAAAAUGUUCUGAUAAACAAAUUUUCAAUUCGUUUGUCAAAAAAAAAUUUCAAUUCGAACUGAUUUACCGCAAAAUUCUUCUUGGUUUAGUAGAAAGAAUCACCACUAAUGGUAGAAGAGAGACUGUUAGUGCCAAAAAUAAGAAGAAAAAAAAAAGUAGUACAGAACAGAAGGCCAGUCCAAAUAUCUUUUCAGCACUGCUCUCAUGCCGCGAGAGUUGAGACCUGAAAGAAUGAGACCUGAAAGAAUGGGGGCUAACUUUUCCUGAAAUAGAAAACAGCUUUGCAGGUCACUUUUGUUCGAACAUACAAUAACUGGUGAACAGAAAGGCAAGGAUUAUACGUGCAUCACUUCAUAAGGUACGAGUAUUAGUUUUUUUUCCCCCCCGGAUAAUUCAAUGGGAAGCUACAGCCUAAGAUACAUGACUUGUUUUAAAGCAUUCAGGGAGUUCUAACAAGAUAUUCAUAUUCAACCAACUUUUACAUGUUUGAAGAACAUCCUUAACCCAGAUGCAUUUUUCAGUUGUCAGGAAAGUGAACCCUAACUUAUCAGCUUUCAGUAAAUAUUUUUGUCAAGCACCGUAGACAUUUACACCGCUAGGCAGCAAGAACAUGUACAUUUGUUUAUACCCUACCCCAUCAGCUAGAGAAUCCAGCAUUGAUCGUGCAGGUCUAUCUAUUCGCCCAUAUUGUCUGUGUGGAUUGCGGACAUCCUCCUCCUAAACCACAAUCCAGGGAACAAGAUUUGCCAACAAUCACUAAUUUGGAACAAUAUCAUGGUUUUUUUUUUGUUGAGAAAACACCAUCAACAGGAAAAAAGCUUAGAAAGAUCAACAUGAUACCUGUAUUAUACUCUGAAUUUAAGGAAUAAUUAAACCACAACAAUAGACCUCCAUAUUUAUAAGAACUAAAUGACAGCAGUUAGAUCAAUCAAUGGAGGCCGGGACUAAAAAAGAAGCAAGUAUAAUCGAAGAAAAGCCCAAGACAGAUGCGCUAUGGUCCCGGAAGAUACACUUCAAUCAUCGAACAGGGACAAAAACCUCCGGUUUGGCACCUCAGUCAUUG